CUGCGCAUUCGGUUCAGCUGGUUCAGCGCCGGCUGCAGAAUGUUGAACAGAACCCACCCUAUUGCUGGGAUUAUGGGCAGCAACAGUGCCAGUCCGCGGUUGUCGCCUUCUGCUAUGUCGGCUAUUUGUUGAACAGCGAAUGCGGCGUCGCAGGUUCCGAGGGUUGUGAAUAUUGCUCCUGCGAUUGCUGUCGCGGGGGAAAGUUUAGUGCUUUCGGGUGAGGCUAUGAGGCCCUUUGGAAGGUUGAUCUGAAGGGAGGGUUUUGAUGGUGCGAGCUUGGUGGGAUUGGGGAACUUUGGGUUGACGCAUUUGGCGUUGAUCAUGGCCAUUGCUGAUAUUGUUGAUGCCAUUGGUGAGAACAGAGAAGAAGCUAGUGAGUGAGUUAUGGCAGUGGCAGAGAUGGAGAACGUGGCUCUGAUUGUGGGAGUAGCAAUUUAGCGUUUGGAAAAAGCCACGUUGGAGAAACGAGGUCCAAUGGGAUUGUGGUUUCUAGAUUCUUCUCUUAUCCGAAUUGGGGGAUAGAUCAGAUUUCGACCUCAUAUUUCUUGCCUUUCUUAUCAUCACUUGCGCUGCUCAAAUGCCAAUAUUUUCUUGUUUCUCUUCGUCCCAAACACGCCUUUUACAGUGAUGCAACGACACGUCGUUUGAUCGGAAAAAUUAAAAUGUUUAUUGUACUUUUAAGAUGAAAGCAUCUACCGUGAGAAUAUUUUUUCUUCGUAUUCCUUAGAGUAUACAUUUAUUAUACUGUAAAUUCAUAAAUUAUCAAUGCGGAUCAACCUCAGUUUAUCCCUCACAGAUUUAAUAUGUAUUAUCAAUUAAAUUAAACUCAUUGAGUUGACAAAUCUUUAUUUAAUUAUUAAUAUUAACUAGGGUGCAGCGAUAAAAAAUCAAAGCAAAAAAAAACAAGUACAGAAAAAAACAAAAAGUUAAAGAGUAAAAGAGAGAAGUAAAAAAAAUAUAUAUUUAUAAUACUGGUCAAACAACACGUGACAUAUAAGUUUUAAUAUAUAUUGAGAUAACUUUUACUAAUGCUAAAAAGAAUCUCUUCUCUCGCCUGUAAAUUUGUUCUCUUCCCUCCUCUUUUAAUUUUCCUGUGUUUACAAUUAAAAAGGGUUUUAAAUGGACUUUUUUUGUUGCCUAUAUUAUGCGAUGAAACUAAUAAGAGGAGAGUGUUAAAUUUCAUUCAGCAAACAUUUUGGGAUGACUAAAUGUAACAAAAGGAAAUUGCAACUGAUGUACUUGGAAUGAGGUGAUGCCCAAGUACACGUUUUUAAGUAUCUUUCAUAUGAAUCAGAGUAUUCUUCAGGAAGUGAAAAAUUCAAUGGCUAAAUAUUUAUUUUAGUUACAAAAAAUGUGAGGUUUUCACAUUUUAGUUCCUUAAAAAAAUAUGAAACAAUCUUACCGUUGACUUUAGUAUCUUAAUGUUAAUGUUUUUACUCAUGUGACAUGUAUAUACGUGGAUGACAAGUGAUAAUUAACCAUUGACACGUGUUAAUCAGAUAAUUAUUAUAUUUUAAAAAAUUAAUUUUUUUAAUUUAAUUUAUAAACUUAAAUAUUUAUUGUUAUUUUAAUCUUUGAAUUUAACCAAUGAUGCUUAAAAGUUCUUUCAAACUUUUAUUUAAGAUACACCUUAUAUGAAAUUAUUUGCAUAGAUAUCAUUAUAUCUUCUCACUUUUAUUCUUUAUCCUUAUGGUUUUCACCAUCCUCUUAUUAGAUUCAACAAAUUAUAUUAUAACUAUGAAACUAAUUUACAAGCAACUACAUAUGCACUAGUUAGUAGUAAAAUUUAAGACAUCAUUAACAAGAUUUUAUAAGAUUUCAAACUCAAUCUUACACCCAGAUCAAGCUUUUAAAUCUUAUGUGCCAUUAAAUGUGUCGAAUGUUUGAAUAAUCAUUUUUUCUAAGCAAAAAGAACAAUUUAAAUAAAUAAUCUAUUUUAUGAAAUAACAUUAAUCAUGAAAAAAAAAACAGUUAAAAAAACUUAAGAAUCAUAGAAGAAACAAAAAUGAAAGUGUUAGAAGUAUUUCUUAUUUUUUCAUUCUUUGUGAUUUUCACAUCAUUGUUCAAGGGUCUGAUAUUAGAGGUGGCAUGCAAAACAAAGAUGUUUUUCCUUUUUUUUUAUGACGUUUGGAAAGUAGGAGGUGAAAUUUUUUUAGGAUGAGGAAGGUGUAAGUUGAAGGGGUCACACAAGAUCUAUGUGAUUUUUAGCAAGGAUAAUUUCUAAUCUCUGGUAAACCUCUUAUUAGGAUUCAAACUUAGAUAAAGUUCUAACCAUCUAUCAAAGAAAAAAUAUAUCAAUGGAAUCUCAUCAUCUAUACAUAAUGAAUUUGUGUGAUAUAUUCAAAUCAUAACAUAUGAACGGUAAAAAUUAGUAUUUUAAUCAAGACUAUCACUCAAGGAUGUUAAUGUUAUUAUCAUUUAAAUUAAGAAUUAAUUUCAAUUUUAUGUGUAAAAAUAGUAAAAAAAUAAAUAAACAUUGUUAGUUAUUAGUUAUUAAAAGUUAAACAUUUAAACAAUUACAAAUGGAGGAAAAAAAUUAACCCCCUUUAAUAGGUUUCUAGAUCCCCCUUGAUUGUUAGGCACAUGAUUGAUGAUAAAGGGAUUAAACAAAGCAGAAAAUGUAAAAAAACAAAAGUUGUUAUUUUGAUUAGCUACUAAUGCGAGUUAUAUAUAGACACAAAAUAAUUUUGAAUGUGAUGGUUACUUGAAAGUAUAGAAGAAGAUAUUUUAAAAAAAUUUAAUUGAAUAAAAUGUAACUUUCUAAAGAAGCUUGUAUAUUUCAAUUGAAUAAAUAACAAACUUACCAUGCACUUGAUGGAUGUGAAAGUUAACAUGAAAUGCGAACAAAAAAAAAGGUGACAAAUAUAAGGAAUAAUGAAUGAAAGUAGAGAUAUGGUGAUAAUUAAGUUAAUAACUUAUAUAUAACAUGAGAUUUCAUUGAAAAUUCAAAAGUAUUUUUAGAUAUCAAAAUGAAAAUAAGUGAUUAAGUUAAAGGAUAAAAAGCUGGUUAAAUUCAUAAACUAAAAUAAAAGUAAGUAAUUCAGUUUAGAGAUCAAACAUGGAAGUUGUUUGUUGCUUCAUUAUCAUCCAAAUGUGCAUAAAACGUGUUACAAAUAAAAAUGUUAACAAUAGCACACUAAACUUCAUUAUGUGACUAAUUUGACACAUUUUAAGAGAUUGAAAUUAAUUUAUAUUGAAUGAAUCAUACUUAUUCUACUAGACUUUAAAGCUAUGCACUGUACAAGUUCAUUUAAAUGAUUAUUUUUAUAUUUUUAUUCAUUAUUAUAAAAAUAAAUGUACAUAAAUAAAAUUAAUUUAAAAAUAUGUAAUACUAUAUUAAAUAUAAUUAUAUCAAAAUUAAGAAAAUUGAUUGAUUAUAUUUUUAAUUAAACAUAUGUUGCAUACUCAAAAAUAAAUUUAUGUAUAAAAUGAUUAAUUAUAUUUAAUAAAUUGAAAAUAUUAAAUAUAUAUCCAAAAUGGCCUGCACAAAUUAGUUCUAAUUUUUUAGGACUAAUUUGUGUAGACAUAUACAUUGAAAAUAAGUAUAUUAUUUGAAAGAAUUAUUGGAAUAUCUUUAGUUAAAUCACCAAAUAUAAAGAAAAUAUGAAUAUAAAAUUUAUUACAAUUUUUUUCCAAAUUGGUUCAUAUAAUUAUGCUAAUAAAGAAAACUAAAUUUUUUAAACUUAUUUAAAAUGAAUUUUAAAAAUAUUGAAGAAUCGUCGCUAUUUGAAAGAAUUUCAAAUAAUACCGAAUAAAGAUAUCAUUGUGCAGGAUUUAUUUGUAGAUAUUAAGGAAAAAAAGUUUUUUUUAAUAUUAAUAUCCGAGUUUGGAGACGAUAUUAAGUCUUUUUUUGUGUGUGUGAUUGGAAAAAGUUAUUUUUAAAUUAAAAAUUAAUUAAUAAACAAACAUCAUAUGUCAUGUUGUUAAUGAGAAUAAAUCAAGGAAUUAAUAAUAAGAAAGUAAAAGUAAAAAAAUAUAUAAAAAAUAUUAUAUUAAUUUUUAAAUAAAUACUGUAUUAAUUUUUAUUUUAUUAGUUUUUUCUAUUUCUAUUUAAUAAUAUAUCAAUAUAAUAAUAUAAAAUAGUAAUAUCUUAAAAAAAAGUAUAUCUUCGGUUAAAUCAAAUUUUCAAAUUAAUCUUUUAACACACCCACUUAUGUCUUAUAUACAUUAAAAAAUAUAUAUAUAUAUAUAUAUAUAUAUAUAUAUAUAUAUAUAUAUAUAUAUAUAUAUAUAUAACAAAAUGUAGAAUUAUAUGACAGUAAAUAAAAAAUAAGAAUUAAAUAUGUUUGUAUAAGAUAAGGUAAAAUUAUAUGUAUUUUAUUUACUGUUAUAUGAUAAAAUAUGUAUAAGAUAAGAUAACUGUAGAAUUAUAAGAUAAGAUAAAAUAUGUUUUCAAUUUUUCAAAUUAAUGAUCAAUUUAAAAUUUAGGGGAAAAAUUAAAAUAAUAAUGUACAAUUCGGUAGGAUUUUCAUAAUAAUAAUUCGAACCAAGUCAUAAUAACUCCCUUAUUUGUAGGUGGUUUGGAGAGGGUGGUUGAUGUGUUGCCAACCAAAUUAAAAUUAUUGCAACCAUCUUAUACUAUUCCUCCUUGUGUUUGUUGAUUUAAAAAAAAAAUCAUAACAAAAAAUUUGAAUUUUUCGGUUUUCAAUUAAUUUUAUUAUUUCUUUGAUCGAUUUCGAUUUAUUUGGAUCUGUUUCGUUUUUUAAAACAACUUUGUUAAUGACUAAAAACACGUACUAAACUUGUAUAAAAAUUAAAACUAACAUUUCAAAUUAUUUUGAAAAACUAUAUCUUAUCUUAUCUUAUAAUUAUAAAUAUAAUCUCUGGUCAAAUAUGCAAAAAAAAUUGCAGCGACACCUCAUGAUAUCAUUGCUUCAUCAGAAAUAAACAAAUAAAAUUAAUAGAAAGUAUAUAAGCACUGGGCAUAGAGAAAGAGCAGAGAUCCUCCCAUUUGAGGAAACGAGAAAAAUUAUUGAUUCAACCACUCACUCCCAAAAACUAUACAAAAGUUUAUACUCUCUCACCCCUACGUCAUUUCAUUAGAUACCCACUUUCAUUAAAAUAACAACUUGGCAAACUUUCUGUACACUUCUCCACCGAUAGUAAAGACUCAGUUUGAGGAAUCGUGGUUGAUCCCUCUCGUAUGUAAUCACCGCUUCCACGUGCCUCUGCUUCGAUCUAUAACUACGAUCAUAAUGAAUGCCAUUCAACCAAAACUUGUUUAUCAUGUUUUAUUUUCCACUUCUCCUGAUUCUUUUUUUUUUUCAAUUUUUUUGCUAUACCAUUUUUUUUUAUCGUUGCGUAUCCAACAAGUGUACUUGUUCAUUGGGUUACUUGUGAUUCCAUGAUCUGGGAAAGUCGAAAAAAAGUAUUUUUGGUUUCUGUAUGGUAGAGGGUAUUUGUACUAUGAUUCAUUUUGAUUGGGAUGAUCAACCUAUGGUGGUGGCGAUUACUUCAACUUUGAUCAGGAAAUUCUUUCCUUUUUUUUGUGUGUGGUUGUAGAAUAUCCCAUUAUCUGGGAAUAGUGUACUUCUCAAAGUUUUCUUCUUUGGAUUCCUUUUCCUUAUUUCCAUCCUGAAUUUUCUUCAUAUGGUUCACCCAUACUCAAUAAAACGACUGCUUCAGAAUUUUUUUAGUUUGGUAUUUGUGAUCAAUAAAACGACUGCUUCAGAAUUUUUUUAGUUUGGUAUUUGUGAAAAGUAAAAUCUUUUUGUCUUUCUGAUGAUCCUCAGUUUCAUGACUACAUAUUUACCUUCUGGUGUCUUUAAUUUAUAAUGCCAUUGUAAAUGGAUACAGAAAAUCAUGUAAUUCAGCUGUGAAAAGAAAAUGUGUCACAUAUUUUAUAACCAUGUUUUUUUCUUUGUAGGUUUGAGGCCUGAGAUUUGCUAGUCAAACAUAUUCUUGAGGUACAUAACGUGUAGAGUUUCAGAUGCUUUAGUUGGAGAAACAGAAAUUAAUUAAUUAAUGUAGUAAUCCAUUUGCACGUAUUUUCAUAAUUACCAGAAGUGUUGGAUCCUCUCUUCUGCUGUGUGUGGGCAUUGUAUAAGGUUCGCAGUGCCCAUGGAUGCCACUACCAGUGAAACCCCAACUAUCCAAUACCAUAACAUCCCUGAUCAGCCAAUUACUACCAUUGUUGCCACACAAUUGCCAACAUUUCAACCGCAGCAACGCCAUUGCUUCAAGGACUCUAGUCCAGGAGAGUUUCCCUUGUCUGACAACCCCUCCAUUGUCCUUCAUGUCCUUACAACAUGUAACUUGUAUGCUCAAGACCUUGCUAAACUUGAGGCAAGUGCUGUGCUUGUCUGCAUUUCAGCUCUUAAGUUGUUAAUUGAAACUUGAAAGUACUAAUUCUAAUACUGCUGGUUUCAUUUCUGAUGUGGUGUUUUGUAGGCAACAUGCUCCUUCUUCAAGCGGCCGGCAAACUUUGAUCCGGAUUUUGACUUGUCCUUGUCAGAGCUUGCUGCAUUGGACAUGUGCCAGAAGAGAGCCAUUUUUAAUCCAAUGACAACAGAACAACGGCAACAUUUGAAGCAAAGAUGUGGCGGUUCUUGGAAAUUGGUUCUGAGGUUUUUGCUUGCUGGAGAAGCAUGUUACAGAAGGGAAAAAUCACAGGUAAUAGCAGGCCCCGGUCAUAGCAUUGCUGUGACAUCAAAAGGGGUUGUUUAUUCAUUUGGUUCCAAUAGUUCAGGACAACUUGGGCAUGGCACCACUGAAGAUGGAUGGCAACCUCGGCCAAUCAGGUUGGAACUUUAGUUAGUACAUUAUCCUACUAACUUAAGUGGAAAGUGAACUAGUUGAAUUUAAGUUAACAUAACUCAAUUAUGCUGCAGAGCUUUGCAAGGAAUCCGAAUUAUACAAGCUACUGCUGCUACUGGGAGAACAAUGUUGAUCAGUGAUUCUGGGCAGGUUUAUGCCUUUGGAAAACAAUAUUUUUGUGAAAAUGAGAUUGGAAAUGAAGGAUCUAAAAUGGUUACAACUCCACAGUUAGUUGAAUCUUUGAAAAAUAUAUUUGUUGUGCAAGCUGCAAUUGGAAACUAUUUCACAGCCGUAUUGUCAAGAGAAGGCAGGGUUUAUACAUUUUCUUGGGGUAGUGAUGGCAAACUCUGUCACCAAACUGAUCCAAAUGAUGUGGAACCCCGUCCUUUAUUAGGAGCUCUGGAACACAUACCAGUAGUGCAAAUAGCUGCUGGAUUCUGCUACCUGCUUUGUUUGGCUUGUCAACCAAGUGGAAUGUGAGCUACAGCUUAAUCUCCUUACCUCAACUUUUGCAAUUCUUUUUCCACAAGAAUUGAAUUAAGAGUUGUAUCAUAUGAUGCAAAUUAGGCACUCUUCCAUACUUCAUUUUUUUUGUUUGCAAAUUAAUGUUUGUAGAGUGAAAAGUGAACUUUUUUGUAUUAUGAUUUAUUCCUUGAUUGGCAACAUAUAUAUCUUCCAUUCUGUUUUCUUCAAUUACCUGCAUGUAUUUGCAUCAUAAGUCCAGAGCUUCAAGAUUUAUGAAAGUUCUUAAGCAUUGCUGAUUUUUUAUUCUUAAGUAAACUAGUAUUUACAUUCCAUUUCAUUUUUGUUGUAAUAACUAUCUAUACAUUUAUUGAUUACCUGAUCCUUCUCGGAAAUCUUAAUAGGUCAGUGUACUCAGUUGGGUGUGGUAUGGGUGGGAAGCUCGGACAUGGCACAGAAACGGAUGAGAAGUAUCCUCGUUUGAUUGAACAAUUCCAGCUGUUAAACCUUCAGCCCAUGGUGAUUGCUGCUGGUUCUUGGCAUGCAGCUGUGGUGGGGCAGGAUGGCCGUGUUUGCACAUGGGGUUGGGGCCGUCAUGGCUGCUUGGGUCAUGGAAAUGAAGAAUGUGCAUUAGUACCUAAGGUGGUGGAGGAGCUGAAAAAUGUCAAAGCAGUUCAUGUUGCUGCAGGAGAUUACACUACUUUUGUAGUGUCUGAUAGCGGUGAUGCGUAUUCAUUUGGUUAUGGAGAAUCUGGUACUCUUGGCCAUGACCCUGAAAAUCCUGAGCAGGUCUGCUUGCUUAUGCCUUUCUCCUUGUUUGAUUUGUGAAUUUUGAACAAUCAUGAUAUGAAGAACUGGUUAGUGAUUACUACUUUACAAUAAUUGGAACUUUCAGAGGAGUUCCAAACUGAACCAGUUUCAGAAUGAAGCUUCUAGUUGAAGCUCAACUUUGUUAAGGUCAUAUUAUGCAGUAUGCGCUAGUAGCUUAUGCCCAAAUCUGAAUGAGGACUAGCAUUACACUAUCAAAUUCAUGUGUGAAGUGCAUAGUGAACCAUGGAUGACAUUUUCUUGUAAAUGCCUUAGAGCCAGGGCACAAGUAGCACAAACCUAAUUUUAUAUUGGUGACUCUAGUGCAUUCUAUUAAAGCUAAUCUUUCCAUGUCAAUUAUUAGGUAGACACAUUUGGAGACAAAAUUAUUCAUUCAGAAAAUCCUAAUAUAAAUGAAGUUAAUCAACAAUAUCAUGUUUGUAAUUGUGCAGGAACACAUGCAUGCAGAUGUGUUAACUCCAAAGCUAGUCACUUCGAUGAAACAGAACUAUGAACGGGUGAUACAGAUUAGUCUGACCAAUUCGGUAUAUUGGAUUGCUCAUACAUUUGCCCUAACUGAAUCAGGGAAGCUGUAUGCCUUUGGGGCUGGGGACAAAGGACAACUAGGUGUAGAGCUUCGUCCCUACCAGACUGAAAGACGAAAGCCACAGCGUGUUGAUAUUGAUCUUGGUUAACUGCGUGCCGGUGCACGCCAAUUAUUUACAAUUUAUGUUUUCCAUGCAUGCCAUUUAGUGUUUUAAUCCUUUGUUUAUUCUGUAAAUAGAAUCAAAGAAUGCAUCCAUAAGGUCCAAGCUAGGUCUAACAAGGGCCUCACCUUCAGCUAUUUGUGCGGUUGUUGAUAUUAAUCUUUGGCUUGAACUUGCUCAUCAUAGUUGAAAAUGGUGAAGGCUCAUAUGCAGUUUAGUUGUGUUGGCUUUUGAAUUUGGUUAUCCCAGGAUCAUUUGCUUAGAUAAAGUUGGUGAAUUUUACUAAAUUGUUAUUCACUCGAUAUCACAACUACUUGAUUUAGUAAAAUUUUACUGAAGUGGAGGAGGAACACUUUUGUUCCGAUAUUUAAAAACAAUGGAGAUGUUUAAACUUGUGCAUAUUAAAAGAAGAAAAAAACUACGAGUCGCAAUUAUAGGUAAUUGAGCAUAGAUUAAGAAAAGAGAUUAGAAUUGCAAAGAUUCAAUUUGAUUUUAUACUAGGAACUAGAAAGGUUUAUGAUAGAAGUCACUUAUCUUUUAUGGGGGCUGAUGGAAAUGUAUUAAAGCAAAGAAAGAUUUGCAUAUAAUUUUUAUUGAUUUGAAAUGUAUGAUUAAGUGUCCAAGGAAGUAUUGUGAAAGAUUUUAAGAAAGGUGUUCUUGUGAGGUAUAUCUAAGCUACACAAGGCAUGUAUAUAUGACAGGGUUAUUAUUAAUGUGAGAACUUUUAGAGGCAAGACUAAGGACUUCUCUAGAAGGAUAAAAUUACAUUAGACCUCACAACCUUGAGUCUUUGCUUGUUUAAUUUAGUUUUGGAUGUACUUACCAACGUGUAUAAAAGAUUAUCAAUUAUUGCAUAAUUUUUGUAAAUUAUCUAGUUUUGAUUGAAGAAUCAAGGGAAAAAGUUAAUGAUCAACUUGAACUUUGGAGACCGCUAAGGGUUUUCACUUACGUAGGAGUAAUUAAUACUGCUCGUGUAUUCAUGAAUUAUGUAAUGAUUGAAAAAAUACUUCUUGCAUAUUAAUAUGUAAAUAACUUGUUAUGAAUUAUGGAAUAAUUUGUGAAAUAGAUUUAUAUGUUUAUUAGCUCAUAUGGUGUGUUUUAAAAAACUUUAAAUUUAUUAUAUAUAUAAUACAUAUAUGUAUUUAUAUAUAUGAGAUCAGAUUAUAUUGGUUUAACUUUAAUAAUUAUUAUAUUAUUUUUAUAACAUGUAUUUUUAUUGGUUAAACUAUUAAAUUAUAUCUAUAUAUUUCAAUAUCAUUUGUAUCAAUUUUUAUUAAAAUUAAAUAAGAAUAAGGUAAUCUAAUGAUUUAUAUUUACGUAUAUUUUAAAAUAUUUAUAUUAUAUUGAUUUUAAUUUAUAUAAACGAGAUAACAAAUAAUUUUAUAUUAAUAUGAAAUUUUAUAUGUGAUCUAUGUAAAAUGAAUUUUUAAUCCAAUAAUAAAUUUUAAGAAGAUAUUAUCUACCUGAAAAUUGUAGAAUGAUAUAAUAAUUGUCUAGAUACGAUUUGAUCCUUUAUAUAUAUAUAUAUAUAUAUAUAUAUAUAUAUAUAUAUAUAUAUAUAUAUAUAUAUAUAUAUAUAUACUGAUUUUAACCUAAAAUAAAAAUUAAUAAUAAAAUUUUUAUGAUAUUAUUUACCAACUAAUAACCUUUUUAGUAAAACAAAAUACUGUUUUUCUCAUUUUAUUAAAACGAAGCUUUUUUAUGAUAAAAAAACGAAGUUAAUUUAUACAACAAUUUAAAUAUUAAAAUGAAACUUAAUUUAUUUUUUAAAAAAUAUCAAUAAUUUUAAAAAAAAUACAAAUCUUUUAAAAGUUUCUCCAAAAAGUUCAUUGUAAAAAAAUAUGGCAGAUCAACAUAAUACUUUAUUUCCUAUGAAGGAUUCUUUUAUGAAUUACAUAUAUCUUUGAUUUCAUAAGAAACAAUUAUAUUGUAGUCAAGUAGAAUCAUAUGAAUAAUAAUUAAUUUUUCAAAAGAAUACUAUUAAAAAAAGUAGAACCAUUAUGAAUAAUAAUUUUUUUAGUACUUAACUUAGAAAUUACUAAUUAAAUUAGAAUAAAUUUACAAAUUUAUCCACAUACUUUCGUAUGAAGGAAAAAUCUGUUAUUUAAUACAUGGAGGGAAGUAAAAUUAAAUUUUGUAGUUAUUAAUCCUUUUCCUCGUGUGUGUCAAUCAGAAAAAGAAAGAAGGUUAAAAUUGUUAAAUACAAUAUAUCCCUAUAUAAAUUUUGUUAUUAUUUUAUUAUUUUAUUAUUUUAAUUAUCUUCUUUAUUAGAAAUUAGUUUUUUUUUUUUACUUUUACAAAAAAAUACUUCCUGAUUAAAACGCGUGACUUUUCCAACAUGGAAUAUUUUAUUUGAAUUAUAAAAAAUCAUAUAAAAGAUAAAUAUAUUUUUUAGAUAAAUUUUAAAACUAUUAUAAUCUGGAUUCAAAACUUAAUUGUUUUAAUUUAACACGUUAUAUCUAUAAAUAUUUCUUGAUUCAAAUAAUUAAUUUCUAUAAUUUUAAUUUCAUCUUAAAAAUAAUUUAAUCAGAAUGAACAAAUAAUAUAAGAAUAUUUUUUUCAGAGUUAUUUAAUUAUAAAUUAUUUUAUAUGAUAAGGAUGUUUGGCUUUUAUAAUAAUGAUUAUUUUAAAAAUACUCUUUGAUUUUUAAUUGAUUCACAAGGUAAAAAAGGUCUUUUCAUUUUCAUGUUAAUAGUGUAUUGAAAUUAAAUUCUUUUUGAAAUCUUAUCUCUUUAAUUAAUUCCCAUAGUCUAACAACAAAAUAAAAAUAUUGAUUAUUUUUAUUUAUAGAAUUGACUUAAAUUCAAAAUCUAUUUAUACACCCCAGGAAAAAAGAUGCUAAUAUAUGAACGGCCAGCAAGGAUGUCCCCUAUAUUCUUUGCCAUUGUUGCAACUUGCAAUGCCGCAUUCCUGAAAGGGAAUAAAGAUUUAUUUAGCACACCAUAAAUAUAGUACAACCUUAACAAACAAACAAAUCCAACAACGUUGUUGUGUUGUUUCCCUCUUCCAUGCAGAGAUCAGCACAUUCCCAUAUCCUAUAUAUAGUAUAUAUAUUCCUUACCUUAAAUAGCAAAAAAAUAAACCGUAACCAACGGCUUCCCUCACACAUUGCAAACGUACCCUAUAAUAUAUGAACCCUCUCCUUAGGACCUUUCCGCAACCACAAUAUAUUCCUUGCAUUGCAGAGUUUCUCUAAUAUUUCCCUUUCCUUAGAGAAAAACUGCACAACAAAGCAACAGAUUAAUUCAUUAUUUUUCUUCAAAAAUGGCUCGUGCACGCCGUGUUGUGGUUCUUGCCGUGGUGAUGUUCGCCAUCAUUGGCUUGGCCUGUGCUAAGAAUCCAGCACCAGCACCAGAGGCCUCUGCCGAUGACUAUGAGGACGAUGAUUACUCCAUCGGAGCCCUUACCGCGGCCAGCGGCGCGGCUUCUUCACCCAACAGCGUCGUGGCUGCACCCAUUGGUGGACCCGUGCCUCCCGGUGCUUUCGACAAUGCUAAGGGUGGUUCUCCUUCCAGCGCCGCUGCCUCUUCCUCCCUUGGUCACUUCUCCGCCGUCGCCGGAGCUGCCUCUGCUGCUCUUGCCGGCUUCUUCUAUUUCUGAGUUCUCAUCAUUGCCGCUCCGAAGGUUGCAUGCAAUCAUGCAAAGAUAGAGCAUGCAAGUAUUAGAAGUGUAUUUAUGUAUAUUGUAAUUCAAUAUACAGAAGAGUUAUAAUUAAUAUUAAAAUGUUAUUUCACCGAGGUCUCAAGCACGUAAAUCAACUGCAUGUGAGAUUAUUUUAGCUUAUAAAUUAAAACUUUCAAUUUAAAUAUUAAUUAUUCAAUUACAUUAAAUAUUUAGAAAGAAUAUUUUCAGUUAUAUCUAGCUUGAAAAGGAUAAACUAAAAGUCAAAAAUAUACGUGAUGUAAAAAAAAUAUCAAAAUGUUAUCGAAUGAUUUACAGUGAUUUCUUGUGAUAAAGAAGACGCGGGAAAUAACCUAGAUUAGUUAUGCCAACCUAACACUUCUGUAUACUUGAUUCGUUACAUAUCACUUAUCAGUUAUCAAUUAUUGAAGUUCACCUGUAAUGAAUGUUUAAACAUUAUAAUAAAGCUUCAAGGGCAAGAUAAAAAAAUGUCUAAAAUUGGGAUGAUUGAAUUGUAAAGAGACAUUGAGGCUCCCUGACAGAUUUCUAGAAAAUAUUAUCAUGAAGUAUUUGAUUUAGCUGAUUUUGAUAAAUAAUUUAGUGGUCUUUUGAGGAAAACAAAUUCAAAAUGAUUAUUUUUUAUAUAAUAUUUACCAUCGAUGAGAAAGAACUAUACGGACAACUUCAAACUUCUUUUUAUUAGAUAUCAUUGUACACACGUGAAUUAAAUGUUCCAAGGAGAGCACACACCUUACAUAUCAAGACAUUUGAGGUCAAUUUCUAUUAAAAUCAUAGAUUUCGUGUAAAAAGUUGGAUGAAUUUUAAAAAAUGUUGCAUGAUAAGUUUGAUUAAUUUAUUUUAAUCUUUUUUUAUUAUUAUAAAUACUUAUUAAGAUAUUUAUUAGAUACUGACAAGGAAUUAUUAUUUGAAUUGAAAUGGGAAUCAUUUUUACCGGCAACGAAAAGGGAAAAAGAAUAGCAAAUUCAAAUGGCUAGGCCUUCAGCCACUUUCACCAACGGGUCAAUGUGCUACCAGAAAGAAAAUAGCUAUUAAUAUUAUUACAUAAAAAAUGUUGGGAGAAUGAUUUCAAAUUCCAAUGUGGCAAAAAAAUUAUUUCUGGCUUUGAUCAUCAGUAAACAAAAUACAAUUGUACAUUAUGUACCCAAAAGUGCAAAAAUAUAUGAAUCACGAUUUAGCGUAAACAUAAAUCUAACCUGCACUGGUGCUUAUUACAAUUCAAUCAAAAUGAAUUUAACUUACUACCUAGAAAAGUGCUUCAUGGUAUUAUCAGUCCCAUCAAUGAAUGACAAAAAAUGCAGAACUUCAUCAAACUCUAAGCUGAACCCCAAAAUUUGCAAUUCAGCUCAACCAGCUUUGUCAAAGAUCAAAUUCUAUCUAACCAUUAAGUAUCGUCUGGAUCUGCUGACAGCUGUAUUAACCCUGUGAAACUGACUACCUAGGAAUGGAAUAAAAACAAACGCAUAUUUUCACUUAAUACACAUAUUUUACACUCACUUCUGCCACCCUGAAUAUAGGUGGGAAGAAAGCCCAGGAAGUGAAUUGAGGAUAACGAUAACCAGCUGUUUCAUUCAACAGUCUUAUCAUAUAACUGCAUCGAUAAUCAACUAAUUUGUUGUUGAUUUAAUACAUUCCCUUGAAAACAGGAUUUGUCCGGCAAAUGCUUGCUCCAUACUCCUCAUAUUCUGCCUUUGUAUGACAAGCCUGCACAAUGGACCAGAUAUUGUAAAACUUGCAUCGAGAUUUAUUGGAAGGAUUAAAAGAAGCAUUAACAAAUUAUGGACACUCCCAAGGAGAAUGGCAUUAUCACAAGAAAACACAUUGCAGUCCACAGGGAUGGAAAAAAAAAACUCGGUCAUAUUUUGCACUGGUCAAGUUCUAUAUUUCUAAACUUGGCAAGCAAUACCAUGUAUUCAAUCAUAAAUUCGUUUAAUCAUAUGGCAAAGCGUACAAAAAUCCUGGUUAUUAAUGCCAGAUAAAGAGGCAUUGACAACCAACUACAGACAUCACACUGACAGCCAGCCUGCAUGGGCGACCAGGGCUGUGGAGCAAGGUGGGAUGUCAAGAUUAAAUUGUAAGGUAUGGAACUUGAGCCCCACAUUGGAAGCACUGAACCUCUUAACACCCUCGCCCCAAAAAAAAAUUGUCAGAAAUGCAUACCGUAAAAAAAUCAGGUGUUGACGCAAGCACUGAUCCUCCAAACCAAACUGCAUAUCUCUGGAUUGGAUUGCUGAGUACAUUUACCUCCACUGGCUGCGACUGUAGGUUCCAAAUAUAAAAAAGUAAAUGCCAGGCCAAAGCAAUAAAUAUAUAGCAGUCAGACCUUCCAAAAUACAAUUAACAACCAACACAUCACUAAUUUCAAUGGAAAAUAAUUACAUGACAAGGAUUUAUGCAAUUAUUUAAUACAACAUAAUGAUGUAUUGGCUGUUGAUUGGUUUAGUCCAUACGACUAGUGCAAGCAAGGUUUAUAUAAAUUAUAAAGAAUUUAGUAUCUGUCUGUGUGUGAGAGGAAGAGAAUCAUCAAUGCAAAUAUGAUCUAAAGGUACCUAUUAACUCUUACUUUUAUCUCCCCAUUCAAGCGCGCUUCAGAUAAAAGGACACGAGCAUCCACUAUUUUUUUUAGAUCACGUUGCAACCUCCUGUGAAAAUCCUUGAACAUGGUUGAACCUCCAGACAACACUACAUUCUGAAGUAAAAAAGACAAAAUAGGAAAGAGGUGAAGAAUUCAAUCAUUAAGAACAUGUAAACUAAAGGGCUUGAAAUUUAUAUGAUCAGAAAUUAAAUAUCAUGGCUGGGAUUGUGGACUUAUAUAUAUAACAUUUGACACUAUUGUAUUCCAUCAGGCCAACAACAAAAAAUGCCCCAAGCUUAACAUUUGGCCUAAGAAAAUCACUAAUUUUAUAAUAAAAAUUGGUUAACUAAAAUUUAAAAGCACUCUUGGAGCUUAAUUAUAUACACGUUAAUAAGUAAAGGUACUUCACCUUGUAUAAUGAUCUCCUUGUGUCAAUUGGCGCAGACUGAAUGCACUUGUCUAUUACAACUGGCAAAGGGGUGGUAAAGUCACUGCCAUAUAUCUCAGGAUUAAAGAAAAUCUGCAGAAAUCAUAGGGAAAGCAUACAGAUAUGUUAAUAUGACUGAUCCUGUUAACAUUAUGACCCAAACUGAACCCAUGGAUUAGCUCCACAAUUAGACCAAGGCACUACUAUAUUUUCAUUAAUUCUUCAGUAGUUUAGGGAACAAGAUCAAGUGGAACUAAUAGCUAUACAUAGAUAAGCGGUAUCAAGACUCUGAGAGAUGGAGACUACUUGAUCAGUUCAUCCUAGAUUCAAACCCCAACCAGUCUACAUUGCUUGUACUUAAGCCUCCCUUGCCCCUUCCCACGCUAGUACUUCGGCCUCUUUUACUUUUUACCACUUUUCUGUAUAACCCCCCUCUGUUAAGCUGGAUAUUAAUGAUAGGAAGUCAGGAUCUUAGAAAGAUCAUACUAAAAAAGUCAUACUAAAAAUAGGUAUAAAACAAGUAGCCAUAGAACAAUCCGGAGGUGUCCCCUAAGAAAGAUUCAGUUAUCCAUAAUAGAGAAAAUUCAAAGAGCAGCCAUAGAACAAACCUCAGGGCCAAGAAAUCGUUCAUAGCCAAUAUCACAGGAAUAUGGUGCCCCCGUCUUUGGUUUAAUACCUCUCCAGUGCUUGAUAUACUUGGCUGGCUCUUUGUCAUGCUUAUUAAAUUCCUGAGAGAAAAUGAGUCUGGUUAUGUAGGAAAAUUAACAAGUUUAAAAGAUAACUUUAGUUACAUCCCUUGAUUCACAAAAAAGAAAAGCAAAUUAAAGUAGUGACAAUUUAUCGACACUCGAUAUACUAAUGGCAGAGGCAACAAAACUAUUGGCAGAGAAACACCACAAACUCCUCAAAUGAUUCUGUCAAAGAACUAAGUAUUGAACUAAAGACCACCUUCACAAUGUCAGAGCAGGUGUAGCAAUACAUUUCCUUCACUUUCCGUGCCACUUCAAAAGAGUCUUCUGGUGGUACAUUUUCUCCUCUUUCCUGCAUGAAGCAAUGUCAACACAACAGGUUGUGAAUCUGGCUUGGAAAAAUGCAGAUUGGCAAUUGGAUAUGGAUUAUUACAAUUGAUUUCACUAGCUAUGUAAAUGGUAGUUUGUGAGAUCCUUCAACAUUAACAAGAAGAGCACAAUAACUUUUAAAUUUAUACCACAAGGAUUUCCUACCCGCAUAAGCUGCUGCACAAAAAGAGUAAUAUCCUUUCCAGAAAUGGGAAUCGAUUUGAUGCUACUGCCAAUAACAUAGCCGUCUGCAACAGGUACAACAUGAGCAGCCCCAUCUCCAACAUCCACUACAACUCCAGUCAUCUCGCACUAUGAAGGAUUUCAGAUCAGCCAUAAAUGAAAAUAUUCUUAAAAUAAAAUAGAUAUAAUAAGAAACAAAAUAUCUUGAUAGCUCCUAUGGUACUGUUAUCAAGUUCAAGUAAAAUUAUGCAUAACCAACUUCAUAUUCUACAUUUUAUAUUCAACAUAAUCGGGGGAGCUGAUAAAUUAUCAUAUGCGCAUGUAAUAAUGCAAAACAACCACAACAGUUCAUAUUCUACAGUAUGGUUCACUCUUGGUUUCAAGUGAAAGCAUCCAAAUGUGUCAAAUUGCAGGGGCUGAUAAUGUGCAUUUUGUGUUUAGAUAACUACCAACCGUGUUGCUGCUGAGAUCAUAUUAAAUAUGUAAAGCAUUCAAGAUAAUCAUCCAAAUCCAAUUCUAUAUUCAACAUAAUUCCCAAUUUUUUUUCUAGCUGUGUACCAAUUACCAACCUUAGAUGUUGUGUAACCAGCUGCAAGAGCAAGCACAGAAUUCACACCAAUGUAAAGUCCAGGUACGUUAAACGUCUCAAACAUGAUUUCCCCAGUAUACUCGCGACUCUCUGGCGAAGUCAAUGGACUCUCCGUCAAGAGAAAAUAGUGAUCCUCUGGAUCACACCUCAAAUAGUUGAAUAUGCACUGCUGCCAGAAGCGCUCCAUGGCAUCCCAAUUCUCAACCUGGCCAUGCUGAAUUGGGUAGCUGAGAUUAUAAGUGCUGCUAGAUCGAGAUUUGGAGAGGGCCUCAUCCCCAAUGAAGAAAUCAAGAUCUGCCAUUACGCCAGCAUUGUGCUGGGCAACCCAAUUGCCUUUAGAGGAAUUCCUCGAUUGAUUAAGAAAGGACUCGUUAAUUGCAACCACUGUCGGAACAUUAAAACAUGGCUCAACAUUACCAGCAAACCCCAUCUUAGUAUAACUGCAAAAAAACAUCACUUCCAAAUUCAGGAAUUCGGGUAAUGAAUAUUACAGACAAUUCUAGUCCUAAAACUAAGAAAACUGCAUUGGGGCAUUUCAACAAACACAUGGUGUCCACAUAUUGACAGAGAAAAAAAAUAGCAUAAUGCAUAGAAAGGGAAUUGGGUGAUAGAAAUGGAGGAAAGUGGUACCCGGAGCCAUUAUCGAUGACUACAGCUGGACGAGAAGUAGAGGGAUCCAUGAGAAAGAUUGAAAAGGUGGUGAACGUUGAAGGUGGAUCUGCGACUGAGAUCCGAGAGUAAGCGUGAAGCAGAGGAUCAUGGUCGUGAAAAGCGGAACAAGGAAGAAGAAGGUGUAAGUGAUGGUGACAGAGGCUUUGCUCCCAAGUGAAAGAAGGAAAUAGACAAAUUGAAAUGGUUGGUGAUUGCUACAUCCAUCUCAACUGAAAGGUGCAGGUCCCAUUAACUCGAUCAUCAUCAUUCUGUUCGGUUCCAAAACAUGCUUUAAACAACUACCUUCCUUCUCUCUCUCCUAGACUCUCUUGUUUUCUUCUCAGGUAGAUGACUAUUUUGGUAUAAUCACAAUUUAGUUCUUUAAAAAAAAAAUUAGUUAUUAAAUGUGUAUAAAUUAUGACAAUUAUAUAAUGUGUAAUGAUAAUUUAAUAUUAAAUUAAUUCUUAAAAAUAUAUUUUAUUAUUAAAUUAAUACUUAAAUAUUAUAACUUAAUAAUAAAAUAAUUUCAUAGAUUUAAUAAUACGACAAAAUUAUCAUAUUAUUCAUGGAUUUAAAUUUUAUAUUUUUAAGAAAUCAAAUUAUGAAUGAUUUAUCAUUUAUAUGUUCAGAAUAAAAAAUGAUUAAUCAGUCUUUCUUUUUUUUCUUCUUUUUUUAUCAUUUUAAAUUUUAAUUCAUUAAUUUUUGGGUUGCCCCAAAGCCUUACAGUAAUAUGGAUGCAUUGCACGGCAUGACGUCACAUUCAUUUGUCGUUGGGACCCACAAAUGGGGCUACUUGAUCGAUUUGAAGGACUUGUUGUGAGGGCCAACCUAAAACGAAUAUUUUAAGCGCUUUGUAACUUUUUUUUUGUUUCCUGGUACCUUGACACGAACCUCCAUCAAGAAAAAAAACUGUCGGUAGUUUUUAAUUUAAAUAAACUUUCAAAAAUAUAAAUUAAAAGAAAAUAUCUUAAUCUUAAAAUUUUUUAUUUCUGUCCUAUAUUAUAAAUUUAAAUAUUUGCUUUAAAAGUUGAGACUCACUGUUCUUUUUUUUCCCUCUCAGUUAAUUCACUUUUAUAUUUCUAUUUUAUUUUAUCAUUAUAUAAUAGUUUCUACACAUAAUUUAUGAUUGUGAUUAGUUUUCUAAUAAAUAAUAUAUACAUUGACAAAAAAAUUACAUUCUCAUCUAAUAAAUAAAUCAUUAUAUAAUAAUUUAUUAACGAUUAAAAUAAUUAUCUUAAAAGUCAUAUUAAAAAUUAUUUCUAUUUUAUUUACAUUUUGAAAAAAUUUACACUAAAAAUUGUCUAAUGUACAUAAACUUUUAUUACAAGAUUUAAUAACUUUUUUUCAUUUCCUAUCAUCAUCUUUAUUAUCAUCAUUAUUAUUAUCUCUUAAUGUUGUCUUUCUAUGUUAUUUUAGUUUAGCCUUCUACUGUCUUUUUUUCCUGUUGUUUUAGUUGUUAUAUCAUGAAUUAAGAUAGGAUACAUUUUCACGUUUAGAUGGCCCGACUCGAGUUUAGGAUUGGUGGAACGUGACUUUUUUCAUUGGCCAUAAUAUUUUCAAUUAUGUUGAAAACUUAAUCCUAAAUUUUAAGCUCAAUUUUCAUUGAAGCUAUUAGAAGUAGCUUUUGCUUCAACACAAAUUUGAGUCAUUAUUUAUUUUAUGUACAACUUUAGUCGUAUUAUUUGUUUCAUGUAUACUUUUAACAAGACUCAACUUAUUUCGGUAAUUACACACUCAAUCAAUUUCAAUUAUAAAAUUCAAAAUAGAUUGUAUAUCAAAAUUAUUUAUUAAUACAACUUUGAUUCAAAAUCAAGUCUAACAAAUCGUGCUCAUUCAAAAUAAAUUUUACAAAUACAUAUUCAAACAUGCAUUUAAUGAGAUAACUGGGUAACCCAACAACACAUUAGGCCCAGGGAGCAUUCAGUACUUUUCCCAAAAACGAAAAUGCCCACUCAAUCUUCUUUUCUUUCUAUCCCUAUCUAAUUGGGUAAAACUUCAAUAGUCUCAUGUAUGUCUGGAUUUGCACGGUAUAGCACAGCAUGAAUCAAGUCCGCGCGAAUUAACCAUUAUUCUCCUGAUUGAUUACUACAAUUUAAGACUUUAAGUAACUAGCAAGGGAAGCACUAAUAAUUACAACCAGAGUAUUGUAUAUGUCCUAUGUGUGAAAUAGACCUAAUGCAGCGACAGGGUAUCACACUAUCACCACCACAAUAAAAUAUUUCACUUGUGCAGCGAAAUGGUAAACAACUGUUAAGAAUAUCACACUGUCAAUAGGCAAUUGCAAUAUACAAGGAAACAAAUAAGUGUUGGAGUAUCACACUAUCACCACCACACAAAAAAUUUCACUUGUGCAGCGAAAGAGUAAACAUUCUCAGCACUAAAAUACACGUGCAUUAUAGACAUCAGACAUCCAUUGUAUUACACCUUUGCACUAGGUAGUUGCCAUACACUAGAAAACGAGAGAGGAGUAUCGCCUCUAUCACUGAUAGCUAGUAAAGGGAAAGAGUGAAAUAUUCUAUGGCAAAAUGCCAAUAGAACCUGUCCAUAGAAAUCAACCUAUCGUCUUAUUUUUACUUGUACCACAGAAACUAGGAAUAUCCAUAAUAAACACAUGAUUCCAUCCAAUAGGUAAAAUCUACAAAUAAAAAUACUUACUGCAUACAUGAUUUAAAUGUAUUUCCUUAUCAUAACAUUAACCAUCAACAGAAAAGCAGACAACUCAAUUAGCUCAUGACUACAUAUACCAGAGAGGAAGUUGGUGUCUCUAUUCUAGAAGUUCUUAUGUACAAGUAACAAUUCAGUCCAAUUAAAUUGUAACAUGUAGCGUACAUAACAAUACAGGUGUUGGAUUGAAUUUCAAAUAUUAUUUAACAAAACCUGAAUUUAGAAAGUACUACUCCAGUGUUUUUUUGUAAUAGAUAGAAUGCAAACAAUUAUGCUACACAGUUCACACAUAAAUACUCAUUAUAAAAAAAAAAACUCAAAAUUAAAGACAUACCCAUCAUUAGUCCGUAGCCUAAACACACAAUGAUCAUAAAUUUAAUGCGUAACUAAUAACUAAGCAGUAGCAAGAGUCAUCAACUUUUACCAUGCACACUUCUGUAAAAAGUACUAGAGACAAAUGCUUGGGACAAUUACUCAUAUCACAAGGUUCUCUGAACAGGGCAUAGGAAUGACAGAAUAGCCUGCAAAUUGUGUAAAAAGAGGCAGGCUAGAACAGAGAAGAGAAUGCAAACUGAAGAGCUGACCUUGGCCAGAAAAUAAGAUGGUCGAAGAUUGAUGAAGAUGAGCAACUGGGUUUAGUCAAAAGUCAACAUAAAACUAACAGGGUUCUGAAGAAGAGAAUGUGAAAUCAUAAAAGUAACCCUAAAAGUGGAUUAUGGAUCCGAAGAGAAGGUGGAACAAUCAUAUUUUUGCCACUUAUUGGUACAGCUGUGCUGUCUACUGCAAUUCAGCCACUAUCCACCCAAAGCUGGGAGUUCCCUGUAGUGUCUGGCAGCUACAAUGCGCAGCCAUAGCACAAUAGUGGCACCCCACUAUUCACUAUUCUGUUUAAAUCUUCUAUUAUAGACUGCAAAAGCUAACAAGAAAAUCUACUUGUAUUCGAACCACUUGCCUACGAUUGCUAUUAAGUCAACACCUUAGCAAGAGUUAAACAUGUAUAACAUCAUUUUGACACUUGCUUAUUCCAGUUAGUAUUGCCACUUCUUCAUAAUUCCUAGAUGGCUCAAUUUAACCUCAAAAUCCUGUAGGACAAGUAUGAGAAAGAGGUUGAAGAAAGGCCGCAGACAAUUGUUUGAUACUGAUUCUCCACUCUACAAUUUACUUUUAAACAGGCCAAUUUGUCCAGUUAUACUUGUAUAUCUGAAUAAACCACAAACAAUGAGGGAAUUGUAGAGCAAGUAAGACUAUAUUCAUUAUUCAGGAGAAACAACAGCAGCAAAUGAGUUAUGCACCACAGUCAGAUCAACAAACUAGAGAUUGGAGACUUUUACUCCAGUCACUUCAACACAUGAUCCGAUGGUUGAAUUCCAAAUCUCACACUUUCAAUGAAGAAUAAAAGGUUCAAGUAUGACUGCAACAAUUCAUCUAAACGCUUAAAAUCUGGUUCAUAAAUCAUAAGCAGAGUGAAGUGUUCCAAGAAUUACUGACACAUAGCAGUUUAUGAAACAAGUGCAUGUGUAAAGGAACAAAUAGAAAUCCACGCAAUUAAAUUUGAAGUGCUCGGGAGUACCAGAAUUUAUUCGAGCACAAGAACAUUGCAUUGGAAAAACAAAAACAAGGAAAAUUACAAAGCACAAGGCAAAAUUACAACAUAAUUCAAAUUCAAGAAAGAGAAUCCUUCUGACUGGCCUGCUGCUGCAAUAAUUCUUCUCUAACCCUUCUGAUCUCGGCUUCCUUCUCCAACCUCUCUUUCUGAGACAGAUUACCAUACAGAAAGAGGGUAAAAAAAGUACAGAACAAAUAGCAUUCGUACUUAGAGAUACAGGCAUACAGCACAGAUAGAUCAAAUAACACGAACCAUUGCUGAAAGGUUCAAAAUAAUGUAUCUACGAAAUGGAAUUCUAAAAUACAGUUAAAUUGAGUUAGGUAGGAAAUUAUAAUAAUCAUAUGUUAGAAGAUAUCUAGGGCUUUUUCAUUGGAGGAGAGUGAAAAUGAGAGAAAGGAAUAAACCUUUUCGUCUUGACGGAGAGCGAUCCAGACAUGGAGCUUGUCCAUGGACUGCCAGAACACGAAGGCUCCUAGCGUCAUCGCGAAGUACGUCGCCACUUUCACCAUCUUUCUUUCUUUCUUCUUCUCUGCUUCGAUUUACUUUCAGUCUCAGAAUCUCUUUUCUUUUCCCCUUGUAAUCAAAAUCUCUGUUUUCCCCUCUCCUGAGUACUAAGAUGGAACGAGAGUGUGAUGUCAUGAUCCGCAGUUUUCUUGGGCUCUGUGGCCCAAAUCCCAUGGGAAGCCCGGCCCAUUAUUUUCAGUAACAUGCAUCUGUCUCAAGUUGCAAUUGGGACUGGGGAGGAGCCUUCAUAAGUUGAUCGAGAAAUCAAUUCAUAAGUUUAUGUUUCUUCUAUUCAAUAUUAGUAAAUAAUACAAGCAUGAUUAAAUGAAAUUUUUGGAUUCUUUACUUUUUUUAUAUUUUUUUAAUUGAACAAUUUUAGUUCAUAAAUUUUAUCAUUAUGUAAAAAUUAAAACCCUCUCUUAGUCUCAUAACUCCUAAUUGAUUUGUGAUUGCUUUUCAUUUAUUUAUUUAUUUUUUAACUAAUGUCCUUCCAACAGUGUUGGCUAUAUUAAUAGUAUUACAAUUAAAAAAAUGUUACUCUUAUGAUUAGGGGAAUUUUAAAAAGUAAGAUUACUUUUCUAAAUUUAAGAUUAUUGACUAAUUUGAUCAAUUUUCUUAAUAAAUGUAAUUUGAUUAAAGAUGACUUAUAGGAAAGAAAGGGAAGAGCAUAAUAAAUAAUUACAAAAAAUGCAGUUAACUUUUUUUAAGGAAAAAAAAACGCAGAAAUUUCUCUAGUCCCUGGCUAAUCGGAGCUAAAAUUCCAGAAAUGAGAAAUGUCAAAAUAGAAAUAAAACUUGAUAUUAUUAGAAAUGCCCAAAAAAUAUCAUAUUCGGAAAGAAGAAACGUAUUGCUCCUCUGAAUGUGAAAAAUAUACCGGAUUAGUAUUAAUUGUUAAGUAUAAAUUAUAAAGUAUAAAUUUUUUUAGACAAGUAUCUGAAUAUACUAUCAGUAUUAUUCUAUGGAAUAUUAAUAUGUUUCGAUAAAAAUUUAAAGAUUGUUUUUGUUCUAUUCUUUUUUAGUAUUAGUAUAGUAUUAGUAAUGAGAUCUAUUCUACAAGGAAAUGUAAAUAUUAGUAGUCUCAAUAUUAGAAUUAUCCGGACUCGAACCGUAGACUAAAGUAAAUAAAUGUAAUCAAGAAUUAUUGUUUUAGUAAAACCAGUGUAGGAAGAUAGUAAUCAAUUUGAAGAUACCAUGUGUGCUUAACCUCAGAAUAAAGGUGAUCCUCUCAUCCAAGUAAAAUAUAGUUAUGAAAUCAUGAGAAAGUUUCCUAAUAUUCUAAUAUUUUGGAGGCUUGUGGCUGAAUUCUCCCAUUGGCUGUUAGUAUCGUGUCGAUUGCUUCAUCCAAGUAAAAUAUAGUUACGAAAUCAUGAAAAAGUUUUCUAAUCAUUUGGAGUCUUGUGGCUGAAUUGUCUGAAUUGUCCCAUUGGCCGUUAGUAUCAUGUCAAUUGCUUCACUAGUGAAACCAAUGAAAAAGAAGAAGACCACAAAAAUCAUCUUUGUUUUAUUUUUAUAUAUAUAUAAAAAAAAAACAUCACCUAAUUUUUUGUGUAUUUUACUAUGAUAUUCUUCAAUUUAUGCACAUUUCAUUAUCUCGUUGCUGACAAAACAACAUCAUUGUGGCAGAACAAAUAAUCUCAUUCCUUUCUUUCUCCUUUAAUUUUUAUAUCAGUGUAUUCUCUUCUAUUUUGAGUUCUUGUAAGAGCUAUUCAAUUCCUGAUUCAGGUUGAAGGUUCCAUACAUCAAUUUUGUCAUUGAACCAGUUGAAGUGAUUUCUUCUGAUGGCAAGUCAAACAUAUACCCUGAUUUAUCUGUCUACAAUAUGGAAGUUUCUCUAUCUUACAUUAAUGGAUUGAUUGGGGUAUCAUUGGAGGUGGAAGAGGUAAUUAUUUUGCUGCUUCAUAUGAGUGGCGUGUUCCUGCACUUGCAAAUUGACUAUUGAUAACUCAUUUAAGCUUACUAUUAACAUAUUUAAUAUCUGACAUCUGAGACAUUCAUGUUAAAAUAAAAAAUGCAAUUUUUACAGCUUUCUGUCCCUGUUCUUUCCAAAUGUUAAUUGUGAUUGUAAAUUUACCCAUAUUGUCUUAAGGAUUUAAUUUCUGUAUGUAUUUAAACAACCAAGUUUUUUUUUAUAUACAUUUACCAGGUGACUGCUUUCUUUUAUACAGCCAUUUUACUUCUGUGGUUGAUUAAUUCGUUUGUUCAUGUGAAAUUUCCUUAAUUUGUAUCUAGUUAGUUGUCUUUAUAUUGCAGUUGCUUGUCUCUAGCACAAGAUUCAAUGCUCUCAGGUUUUUAACAGCAAGUGAAACAAAUAUUUUUAACUUGUAAUUAUCGUUUGAUAAUCUUCCCACCUUCCUUCAGGUCACUAAGUACUUAAAUCGGAUGCAAUUGCAUGCCAAGCAGUGUGCAUCUCAUAAUAAGCAGUGUAACAUUGUGGUAUCUGUACCUUCUUCUAGAAGUGAUGUUCUUCACCCAUGUGAUGUUAUGGAGGUAUUGAUAGUGACAGGCUUUGUCAUUCUUGAAUUGGAUCUAUUGUGCCAUUGUGUGUAUGUUUCAAUGACAAGGCAUGCCUUUUUUAUUCUUGUUUUCUUUUAUCUAUAGGAUGUGGCAAUUGCUUAUGGAUUCAAUGCUAUUAAGGAUAAAGUAGUAGUAGAUAAUAAGGGCUCAAAGAGGUUGGCUGCUUCCUUGACUCUACUUCCUCUGAAUGAGCUCAGUGAUCUUAUCAGAAAAGAGGUAUAAAUCAAAAUAACAGAACACAUUACUCCUGUGAUUGAAGCUAGUUAAUAUUUCAUGCUUUAAUUUUUCUUGAAAUGUGUCUAUCAUUGUGUUAUCUUUGAUCAUUCUGAAUCCUUUUAUUCCUAACUUGUUUUCAGGUUGCUUUAAUUGGUUUCACAGAGGUCUUGACAUUUAUACUCUGCUCUAAAAAGGAAAACUUUGCCAUGCUUAACCGCAAAGAUGAUAAAUCUAAAGCAGUUAUCAUUGGAAACCGUCUUCAGACUUUGAGGUUCACCCACUUUAUCUUCCUUUAUCGAUGACAAUGUUAAGGUUUAUAACAAACUUUAUUUAAUUGCAAUGAAAAAAUUGCAUGGCUUAAAGAGCCUUUCUUUUUCUUUUCUUUUUAUUGCAUAGUUCUUGUUAGAGGGUUUUAUUCUUUCUUGUUAUCCUUUCAAGUUUUACUGUUUCAUUUGUGUAAUUCUUCUGAGUUCUGAUAGCUUUUAUUUAUCUUAAUGUUUAUUUAUUUUGGUUCAUGAAGUGGUUCAUUUAUUGUCAUGAUCUUGGUACUGUUGUUUUUAUGCAUGCGUAUUUUCUGUAAACUGGAAAAGGAAAUUAUACUUAGAUACACUAAUCAUGCUAAAUUCUAUUUAAAAAAUAAAAUAAAAAAUAAUAGCAUGUCACAGCAUGCAUCUGAUAGGAGUGGUGAUGCAUCCAGGCUGCCAUCUAGAAAUCAAUUUGACAAAGCUUACUUAUCAUCUUUUCUCAUUACAUCAGACGGUUUUUUUUCUCAUUGCAAUCUGAAGUUGUGCAUUCCCAGCUUACUGAAGUUUCACCUUUAUUUUUUGUGCUGUCUGCUCUUUAAAAAUUUUAACUAGGAUAAAAAUGAUAUGGUGAUAUUCUCCCCUUUAUUUUUUUACUUGAAUUCAUAUAAUUUAAUUUUUAAAUUUAACAUGUACUCAGGCUGUGCGGACUAGUCUUAUGCCUGGCAUUUUGAAAAUUGUUGCUCACAACAAGGAUCAUCCAAAGCCCAUAAAGGUACCUUUUCAGUUCUUCCUUUGGGUGAUUGAUCUUUUUCUCACAAGUCUUUUCAAUAACCACAUGGAAUUUCAGUCCUAGUUAUAGUAAAUUAUAUCCUUUUCAGUUCUUCCUUUUGGUGAUUGAUCUUUUUAUCGUUGAUUUUAGUUAUAUCCUUUUAAUGUUGCAUUCUAUGAAUCUGUUUUGAAAAUUAUUGUCCAAAUCAUUAUGUAAUUUUCACAUUGUUAUCAUUCUAUGAUUAGAGAUAGCAUUGAGCAUGCCUUGUUAACGUGAAUCCAAGGUUAUCUAUGGCAGGUGGAGGAAUAUCACAGAAAUUCCGCCAUAUAAACAUUUCAUUGUGGCCUAUUGUGCCACUCUAGCGGGCCUCUCUUCCCAAAUUGCCUAUGGCAGAGGUCAAAAAACGUCAUGUUAUAGCGUUAUAGUGGCUCUGUAACAGUUAUUUAUCAACAUUACAUGAAUCAUGAUGUGUCUAUGGCAUUGGACAAAUUAACCCAUUAUAUUACGUGGUUUGCCAUGAAUAGGUUAUCCACCCGUCCGAUAAUAUAUCUCUUGGACUAGUUACAACCUUCAAAGUCUUCCAUCUGUUCCUCCCCAACCCCAAUGGUGGGAGUUCCUGUGUAGGCUUAGUCCUUUUGGACUUUUGAUCCAUUGGACAUGUCAAGUCUAUGAAUUUGAAUAUUAUAAAUGAAAAUACUUGAGAGUUAAAAAGUAUGUGAAUUUGACUGGUAUUGCUUGACAAAUUUUACCCCGCAUUUGAUAUUCAAUGUUGUUGCCAAAAUUAUUUUGAUUUUGCGUCUAUUUGGCACAUUUUAUAUAAAUUGUUGGUGUGUAUUUACUCAUGCAUAAAUCAUGGGAGUGUCAACUUUCUGCGUUGAAGAAAGAUUACGAUAUUAGUAUAUUACCUUGCAAGUCUGCUGCCAAAUACAAUUUUUUUAUUGGCUCUAAGUUGCCUUAGUCCAGCGAUCAAUUGGUAACUAAGGUAGUCUAUUUUUCCUCCUCAAAUGAGUUGAUGAUUAGUUAACAUAUGCAAUUCAUACAAUUACAAAAAUAUUUAAAUGCCUAGUCUCUUCUAAAGAAAGAUUCAAACUUCAAUUAACUCUUUCUCUGAUUCAAUACAUUUCUAUUUUUUUUUUCCUACUACUUUGUUGCUAGUUUGUAAGAAUACAUUUCUAUUAUAAAAUUGUUUCUGAUUUUUGAAGUAGGUGAUAUAGCAGUUUUGGAUGAACAAAGAGAUGUUGGUGCAAAAAAUCUUCGCCAACUUGCUGCUCUGUACUGUGGUGCUAAUGCUGGAUUUGAGGUACACUAAAUAAUGAGUUCAUGGCACUUCAUUUGGUUCUUUGCUCCUUGAAUUUAAGUUAUUAAAUGUUCAGUAUUUGAUUUGAUGUAUCCCUAUCAUUAUGAUUGAUCAGAGCUCUAGAAGAGAUUAGAAUUUAAACUGGCUUUAAUCGCAACAAAAAUUGAUAUCAAAAAUAAAUAUCACUACUCUAUACAUGGUAAAAAUAACUCGAUGAUUUGUUUUAAUGUUUAUCCAAUGAUAUGCAGAUAAUUCAUGGCUUGGUGGACAGAGUAAUGGAAAAGAAUGGGGUUCCCUUUGUUUCACCUGGUGAUAAAUCGGGUUAUUAUAUUGAGCGGUCAGAUGUAAGUGUAUAACACUGCAUCGAAGUUUUCUGUAUUUUAUAUUGUCCUUUUUUUGCAAGGAAGACUCGCUCUGCUUCUGAUAAUUUGUGUAUGAACUCAUUUGCCUAUUGAAGGAGCCUUAGUUUCUUGCUGGUAGACAAUCUAGAAUCAUUUACAAAGGAAAGCAUAUUGGCACUUUUGGCAUUGUUCAUCCUGAGGUACUUUUGAUCCCUGAAAUUAUGUCUGCUUGUUUUAAUAUGGCCAAUUGUUAGCACAUAAUUUUGCAAUUCCUCUGUUCUUUUAAUAAUUUCGCUGUAGUCAAAACCUAUAUGUAAUAGGGGUAUUUAUUGUAUGCGUAAAAUGAUUGCUAAAUAGGGAUUUGCAGAAUGGAAAUUUAGUGUUCCAUAUUUUUUGUCGAGUGGUUGUUUCUUACUAGCAAUAAAUUAUCUGUUCCACACGAACCUGGCACUGUGUUUUCUUCCUGUGAUUUUCCAUUAAAUAUCUUGUAUUUAUUCUUUCAAAACGAAGUACUCUUGGAGUCAUAUAAGACGCAUAUAUAUUAAUUGUGCUUGUUAUACUUUCAGGUAUUAAACAACUUUGACAUUCCUGAUCCCUGAUCCUUUGUUGAACUCAACAUCGAAAGUUUCCUAUCAUGGUGCAGUGUAUCCAUCAAAAACUUUCUUAGUGUGAGUCUGUCAUGGUGCAGUUUGUAUUUUUUCCAUGCUGUUUCUCUUGUCAUUCACCUUUCUUCCCCUGACUGCUACAUUAUCUCCUUCCUAAGGUAAUUUUUGUUAGGCUGAUAUUGAUUCAUUUCUCUGUAGGUAACCCAUUUGUCCAAUUCGCCCUUUUGAAUAUAUUUAUUCAUCAAACUGGGGAAUCAAGAUGUUCAACUGCUUGAGUGACUAUAUAGGAAUCAAAACACUUCGGGGAACUUAGAAAUACACUAUCUCGGGACCGGAAUGUUACUAAUAUGCCCUAAAUUAGAGUGUUUAAUUAUAUACCUGUAUCAUUUUCCUAAGUUUCUCUCCGUUGUUAAAUGUUUAGAACAUCAUAAGCUACGAAUUGGUUAAUAGGGAUAAUCUCGACCAUAAAUUAUAGUUAUUUUUUUAAAACAGUUGAUUUUGGCCUUAAAACCCAGACAUCAAGGAUAUUUAUUCGUUUGAAAAUUUUGUCAAUACAAAAGUGAGUCACCAACCGUGUCUACUUCUGCCGUAGUUUGUCAUCCUUGUUUUUUUUUUAAUCUUGGAUGUUUUAUAUUUGAUCAAUCUUUGUUGACAUGUCAAAACUUAAACGUUGUCCUUAAAAGAUGUUAUGGUUUAUAGGGUAAUUAAUUGAUUUUUUAUAGCCCCGGUAAUUAGAAGUUUUUAAGCUAAGCGUGCCACUAGUAUAAUAAUUGUAUUAAUGUUUUGGAGUUGAAAGUAAAUCUACGUUGUUUAAUUUGUUAACUCAAAUGGUAAGGAUGCUGACGAGCCAAAUUCUUUUUUUUUCAAAAAAAAAAUAAAAAUGAUACUGCUUUCUAGUGUUCUACAUUAUAAGGUUUUUUUUUCAAGAAUAUUAUUAAUGUAGAUCACGGGAAAGAAACACUAGAAACAAAUUUCUAUAAUAUAUUUAUUUUUUAACUUACUGCUUAAACUUAUUUUAUUUUACUAUUUGAUAUUUUUAAAUUUUUAAGCACUUACAAAAUGUUUGUAAAUGAUUACCUCCGGACAAAAUUAGGGUAUACACUCUUAACUAAUUUUUUGACAACUUAAAUGUACAAUUUGUGGUAUUUUUUUUAUCACAAGAGACUAAAACAUUUUACUAAUUUGAGAAAUUAAAAACACAAAUUUUUAAUUUUUGGAAAAUAAACACAAUGUAAAUUUUUUUUUACAAUUACAAUCAUCUAAUCAUAACUUAUAUGUAUAAUAAAUUUAUUGAUUUUUAAAAUAUUUAUUUAAAAGUAAUUCAAAGUAAUUUAUAAUUAGACGAUAAUGCAAAACUGAUCAUGAAGCAUAAACAUUAAAUCCAAUCUAAUAUACUAAAAAUAUAUUUAAGCCAUUAAUUCAUUUUAAUUAAAAUGUUUUGGGUUAGCAUGUUUUGAAUUGGUUAUAAAAUGGGCUGUCCAGAACAACUUCACCGUUUGCUUGCUAACGUGGUCCAGGUCAGUGGCAUGCCUAUUACUUCAAACGCUCUUCUUACUUCAAUAAAUUGACACUCCUGUCAUCAAGAUUUCACUGUUCCCUCACGUCGUUCGUUCUACUUUUGACUCGUUCUGUUUUAUUAUAGUUACAUUAACGAGACCGAGUACCUACACACGGAGCAUUUCUUUUUUUUUUUUUCAGGGCCACUGCAAUGUGUUUGAUAAAAUGCCUGAAGGAAAACAAGUACCUUUUCUUACGGUAAUUGGGCUUUCCCUUUACUUGCUUCUUGGAAGGUGACUCUUAGUUUCAGUACAAUGGGUCGUAAAUUUUGGGAGCUACUUUACGGUGGAAACCAUUUUAUUAGACCCAACAUGUCUACAGCAUUUUACCUAAACUCCAUGUUUUAUCACUCUUCAAGAGAGGCUCUGAACUUUCAGUGGUAUCAGAAUGAGUUUCCCAAAGUGAAAGAGUUGACCCAUUCGCUAGCAAAUGUGGAUGCAGUUAAUGGGAGGCUUGUUGAUAUUAAUAGCAAUUCAACCGUUUUUGAUGAUGACAUUGAGCGUGAAAUGUGCACCUUCAAGUCCCUUGUUCGUGAGUUUGUUGGGUCUCCAUUAGUUCAGCACAGAAUGAAACAUUUUCUGGCCUCUUUCCUCACAAAUGUAAAAGAUGAAUCUUUUACCCCUUUUGGUACAGCAACUGAAAGAAAGCCUAUGGUGGUCGAUUCAUUGACCAAAGUGAGCAACUUUCUCAGUGUUUCUGCUCAACAAAGGAAAUUGGUUCGUUUCAGGGUGUGCCCGCAGGUUACUCAGCACCGCAUAUGGACUGGCGCACUUAAAGAAGUUCUGAAUGGUUUUGCAGUUGAUUUGGAUUGUUUGGCUUCUCGGGGCUUAGACAACGAUGCUUUGUUGGGUGGCCAAAUUGUUCAUAGCUGCUUGAGGUUUCUGACUGAAAUUGGUGUCUUUUCGGAGCCUGAGUCUUCUUCUUGGAUGAAGCUUUCGCCUUCUAAAACAGUUGAUUCCUCUGAUUCCCGGAGAUGGGAAGAUGUUCUUGUGAUGCUCAAUGAUCUUACUAAAUGCUGCAGAAAUGAAAGGAGGUUAAAGAUGAAUGUAGCUAAGGCUGAAAUCAUGAAGGAGGGGCUUUUGCACAUAAGGGAUGUUUUAGUUGAUAGCAAUGUUGGAUAUAAGGAAGCACAGCAUCAAGAAAGCCUAGUGAAGAAGAAGCUGUCCAAAAUGUUGGGUCACUCGUCUUGUUGCCUGUUCACUCUAUUACUGUAUUACCUCUAUGGAAGGGUGGCGGAUAUUGAAGUAGACAUGUGUGGUGGGGUUUAUGCAAACGGGAGUGAUGGCAAGUUUUGCUUGUUUAUGGGAAGAAUUUUGACUUCAGAUAGUGAGAAGAUGGUUGGACGUGGCGUGAAGCAGUUGGACCGGGCACUUGGGAUUUUCAAGUUCGUGUGGGAAAUGGCUGAAAUGAAAGGGCAUUUGGACUUGCAGGGCCAUAUGUGGUGUGUUGGAGCAGACAAUAGGAUGCUUAGGUAUAGAGGAAACACAUACUUUGUGCAUGGAAUUUGCCUUUGACUAGAGAUUGUAUCACAAUAUCAUUUAAUCCUAUUCCAUGGUGCUAAUAUGUCACACCACUUAGUAGUUGCCAUUAGCAACUGGCAACUCAAAUCUGCAAUGUGUUUAGGUAAUUCGUUGAAUAUCAAGAUUUCUUCCUGAGUUUUAUGCAGGGCACUAAGUAACAAAUAUGUGGGGUCUAAUGUUUGAUAAACGGGAUGAUAUGAGACUGAAUUAUUUUACUAGCAACAAAAUGGUGUAUUUUAGAUAAACGGAAUCAUAUGAAGGUGAAAAUUUUUAUAGAGAACGGAAACAAAGAGAUGGUUGCAACAGCCGUAACUUUUCAACUCUCCUAUAAAUAAAUAAAAUUAAUAAAUAAAUAAAUAAGUAAAAAUUAAAUAGUUCAUAAUUUCUCACUAUAUAAACCAAAAUUUAACCUAGAAUAGCUUUUACAAAAUAAUUCUGUUCCUUUCUUCUUCUUUCUCACAUACAAGAAUUCUACUAGAACAACCGGAUGAAGAGCUCUAGAGAGUAAGGGAUAAGUUAUUCACGCUUGGAGGUCAGAAGAAACAUGUAUAGGGAUUUUUGGAGGAUUAAUUUUGGAGUGUUUUGGGUUGUUUUUUUUUAUAUAAAAUUUUAAUUCAUGAAAUUCUAUCAUCCUGUUUAAUGCAUAUUGAUAUGAUAUUUUUUUAGUAUAUAUCAAUUUUUUUUAACUGUUAAUUGUUAUUGCUUGAUUUCUUUUUAUAUAUUAAGACAUAUGAUUUUUGUUGUUUUAUGUUUGUGAUUUACAUUGUUAUCAUUGAAAUGAAAAAUUUGAUCCAAAUAGAGCUUGAUUCCCUUGGUGCAGGCUUUUUGAUGUUUGAGACUUUUUUGUACAACAGUUCUAAUACAUACAGGAGAACAUUAAGAAAUUCCUCUGUUUAGGCUUGAUUUUAGUAUGUUUGAAAAGAAAGAAGAGGAAAAGAUUUACACUCCUCUUCGUAGAGAUUUUUUUUUUUUAAUAAAAGCUUUUUAAUUUACUAAUUAAUGGAUUUAAUUGAUUUCAUUUGGUUGAUUAUACUUGCUUACCUAAUAGAGUGACCAUUAAUUUAUAUCACAGAUUUUAUGACCAUGUCCUUUUUUUAUUUGGAAGCGCCGGGUACAAAUUCUCUAUGUUCGGAUAUUUUUUUUUGCAAAUACAAUUAAUAUUAAGUAAGUUUUUUUUAGUGAAAAAUAUUAUAUUGUAACGACCAUAUACAUAUGUAAGAAAGCUGUUUUUUUUUUUGUGUAAAUUGAUAUGUUUAAUAUUAUAAAUUAAAUAUUAUUGUGAAAUUAUUAUUUUAUUGCUUUGCAUAAAUAAACUAAAUAUUGUUGUGAAAUUAUUAUUUUAUUGUUUUGCAUAAAUAAAUUAAAUAUUGUUGUGACAUUAUUAUUUCAUUGUUUUGCAUAAAUAAAUUAAAUAUUGUUGUGAAAUUAUUAUUCUAUUUUUUUCAGUUAUAUAUGUAUAGUAAUAAAUUAAAUACUUUUUAAAAAUUAUUGCUUCAUAAUUAUUUUUGCUACAUCUCAAAUUAAUUGUUGUAGAAGUUUUUAUUUAUUUAUUUUGUUGAAUUAAUAUAAUUCAAUUUAAUCUAUAUUUUUUUGUUGUGUCAAGUAAAUGUUACUAUUGAAUUAUGUGUAGGAUGGAUGGGAUGCGUUAAAUUAUUUUAUUAUGAAAUUGUGAUUGAGAUUGUGUGUAAGUGAUAAUCAUUUGGUAGGUAAUGGAUUGUGAAUUACAUGAUUGUUGAGAUGUUAUAUGUUUUGAGUUGUGAGCCAUAAAUUAUGUAAUCAUACAACUGUAAGGCCUUUCAAGGGCUACAAGUUAAUACACGAUGAAUUGUAUGGGAACCCCACGAGUUAAUCACUUAAGGUGCAAUGAGUUAAAAUAUAUUUUAUAUAUAUACAUAUAUAAUUGAGAUUUUGAAAACAAUUGAGUAAUUGUGUGCAUUGCAUAAUACAUAGGUAGAGUUUGUGUGUUCAAAUAUUUUUUUUGGGUUGGACCUGACUUAGGAGGGAGAGCCCCUGACGGACUCUUCCGAGGGUAGGCCUUGGGGGUCAUCCUGUUUGAGUGCUCCUUUAAGCUCGCGCCGAUCCCACAUGGUUGGAGCAUUCUCGCAAAACAGCGUGACCCUGACUGGUCUCCCUAUGACUUUACUUAGUGAGAGUGACUUGACUUAUUCUUUGUGAGGCAUGUCUAGUCAUGUACUCCUAGGCGCCCGACUAGAUUUUUCACUCAAAAAUGGUCUAGAGAUUAAGGAAAGAAAUUUAAAUUCCUUCACCAGAGAUCUCUCUAUAUUGUUCUCUUCCUUUCAGCGCACACACAUGGCUUUCUCUUUCCUUCAAUUCUAAACAUCAAACCUCAUCCCCAUUGGUGCCAUCCGCGUUCUCUCGCCAUGGAGGUCAGCCGCGCACGAAAUUUGCGAAACCAGUGGUCACAAUUGACUAUAGGUCCGCAAGAAGAUCUCACACAACCACACUCGUCAAUUAUACCACCACCGCGUGGUUCUGUUCUUCUUGUUUUAUUUCACAUCUUUGUAUUUGUUUGCUUCAGUGUUGUACUUUUUUUUAGUUAUUCAGAGUUAGAAAUUGUUUUUAUUGUGUUUCGUGUGUAAGAUGGUGAGUGUGUUGUUGUUCUAAUUUUCAAAUAAAUAUUUAAAAAUGAAAAUUUAAAUUUUAUUAAAAUUAAAUUACUUUAUUCAAACAAAAAAAUCAGUAAUUGAAUUGUCUCAUUCAAACAAAUAUUUAUAUAAUGAAAGAAAUUUAAAUUAAGGUAAUUAAAAUAUUGUGCAUUUGAAUUUCCUACAAAUUUCUAAAUCUCUCGUACAAACACUAAAGUCAUGUUUUAAAACAAAAUUUCGCAUGAUUUUAUUUUCUUUUAUUAGUUAUCUAUGAGGGAUAAAGGGUGUCACAAUGGUGAUGGAUAAGAUUUGGAUGGAUAGAAUAUUAUAAGUAAUCAUCCAUAUUCACUAACAUAUUAUCACUUAAUUAAUAGCAUAAAUCUAAAAGAAAAAAUGAUUAAAGACCAUAGAUAAGAUAAAAUUCAUUUUUUAUAGAAUAUGCCGGACAUUGUUUACCUUAUUUCUUGGUGCUGGUACUUAUUAUUUUCAUAUCCUAUUUUUUAUACUUUUUUUUUUCAUGCAAUGUGUGUUAGUACUUCUCACACUUAUUCAAUGGUGAUACUUUUAUUGCUGUAGGUUAGUUGAGCAGAGGGAAUGUCAUGUCUCGAACUUGGGAUCAAUAAUGGCAUUACAAUAAGCAAACCAUUACAUUGGACCGUAGAUAGACAUGGUGAUACUUUGUGAGCCUAUAAUGAGGUAAUUUAUCUUUGUCACAACAAUCUUAUGCACUUUAAAGUUUUUCCCCUCAUCAAUUAAGUUUUGAGAAAAAAAAUAGUUUUGCCAUUUAAAAAAUGUGUUUCAUGCACAAUGAAACAAAUAUAAACAAUUUAUUUAAUAUUGUUUCUAUUAAUAAAUUAUAUAGGAGUGACAAGGUAGGUUGAAAUUGCUGAGUCAAUAUACCUAAGUUAAAAAAAGAAAAAAUAAUAGAACAUAUUAGACGACGCUUCAACCCACUAACUUGCCUAACAUGAUAUGUUGAAGGCAGCUGAUAAAAGGGACUAACCCUUUUUUUAAGUCAAAAUUAAAAGAAUUAAAACAAAAACAAUCUUAUGUUAUAAGUGUUAGAAAAUAAAAUAAAAUGAAAGAAAUAAAUAAGAAGAAAAAUGUAAAGUCUCUAAUUAAAUGACAAAAUAACAGUAACAAGAUAAUUUUAAUUGACACCAAAUGAAUCAAUAAUGCACUAUAAUAUACAAUAAGUACAAGGAAAAAAAUAAAUUAGGGGAAGAAAUAAUUAGUCUGAGUUGAAACACGCAAACACUGCCCUUAUAGAGAAAAUAGUCUGCUAGGAAAAUCUGAUUGCGCUCCUCUUUCAAGAAGAUACCACAGCCCGUCGAUUCCGAUCGUGUGCAGAAAAAAGAUCCUCGAACCUUUUGAACACCAAUGUUGUUGCUCUCAAAAUUUUUUCCAAGAGAAGGAAGAGAAAAUGGAAGAAAAAAGAUAUGCUUGUGUUGUGUUUUUUUUUCUAGGAGAAAAGAUAUAAUAUUAUAUAUAUAUAUAUAUAUAUAUAUAUAUAUAUAUAUAUAUAUAUAUAUAGGCAAUAGACCCCUUAUGCAAUAGCAAAAAUUUGACCUUUGGAAUCCCCAAAACUUACUAAUCAAAACCAAAGUAACAUCUUACAUAUAUCAAAACAAACUUAACAAAUUACAUUUGAUAUGUUAAAACAAAAUCUUAAAAAAUAUAAAAAAUAUAAUUUUAUGUAACAAACUGUACAAUAAAUAUUUUAUUUUAUAAAAUAUAACUAAUAUAAGUAAUAUAUAUAUAUAUAUAUAUUUAUUUAUUUAUAAAUUUUAAAUUAUAAUACAAAUAUUUACUAACAAUAAGUACUAAACAACUAUUUAAACCACCUCUUUGACAUCUAAUGACAUCUUUCUUCCUCCAGCACUAUCUCUUAUAGUUAUUUUGUCUUGGUUAAUCUUAUGAACUCAUUUUUCUUUGGAUGGUUCCUUUUUGUUUUCAAUUCCUUUGCAUCACUAAAUUAUUUUUAAUAACGUUUCUCAGUUCCUCUCGCCGACAUUGUUCUUCUUGGGUGUUCCUUCUCCAGCAAGGACAAGUAUGAUUAUCUUUCCCUUCUCCUCUUUUGCCCCCGCGUUCAGACAUUUUGGUUUUGGAUUGAUUCACAUUCACAUGCAAAUGUUAAAAAAUGAUUUAGUAAAAAAUAAGUAGAUUUUCACCUCUCUAACAUAAGAAAAAAUAUAUUUUUAUAAAUAAAUGAAAUGUAUUGUUAUAUUGGAUACAGUAGAUAAAGAAUGAAAAGCAUAUGAAAAAAAUAGAUUAAAGAAUAAUGAAGAUGGGAUUUAAAAAGCAGGGUUUAAAAAUGAUUGAAGACAGGUGAAAAACAGAGUGUAUAUUUUUUUUUUUUAAUGAAUGGACAAUUUAUUGGUAAUGAGAUUUUGUAUUGUUUUUAUAUAAAAAGGUAUUUUUGACUAAAAAAUUAAAAGAAAAUAAGAUGAGGUACUUUCGUAAUAAGAAGGUGUAAAUAACAAUAGCCUGGAGCCCGAAAAUAAGAUGAUUUUUUUUUCUUAUUUAAAUAAAACCAUUCGGCUACCAGUUUUUUUUUUUUUUUUUAUCUCAACGGGGCCUAAGCCCAAUUUGGCUACCACCAGUUUAGAUCGUAGGUUUGGCUCUGUUUUUUCUUUAUAAAAGCAGAGGCAGGACCCCCUGUUUUCUUUGAUUAAGGGAUAAACCCUAACGCCGCGAGGCCAAGGCAACAUUCAUCCGAAGUUCUGCAUCAAACACUGCUUGAACUUUGAAGUAUGUUCUCUUAUCUAGGGUUUACUCGUUUCUCAUUUCUUCCUGAACUAGUUCUUCUGCAAUUGUCGCUUUUUGAUAGGCGUUGCGUUCUUUGUCAGUUUCUAUUGCAGAAGGACGUGUCAACGUAAGCGUGUACGAAUUGCAAUGUUGAGCUCUUUUGUCACUUUUGUGACUUGAACAGCUACGCAAUAUUUCAUUCGUAGUCUGUUCCAUGGUCUCGUUGUGCCAUUCCUUUUUGUUCAUUUUUUUUUAUUAACGUUGCUUCUUUUGGUGAACUCUCCCUUAUUAUUCCAUGGUGGUUGUUCUAGUUUCCGAAGCAUAUAUAAAUUAAUUCGUCUCGAAUAACCGGUUUUAAACAGCGUGGUGUAAUCUUCUCUAAGCUACCCUAUGCUACCUGUCUUCUGGUACAUUCAAUUCAUUACUAUAUAUUCAUUUUCCACGAUUAAGAGCAGUGUCAAUGACGUUCUAAUGAAACUAAUUUUUAAAUUUCAGAAUCUGAAAAUGAGAAUUUGAACGAUUAAAGUAAAGUAAUAAAUACUGACGCUUGGCUAUUAAAAUUGUAGAAAUGGAAACGCCAAAUGUAACGAUACCUAAAGUUGGACCUAAACCGUCGAGGAAAGUGAAGCUUCCGACGCCGAAGGAGCUGAUAUCACACUAUGAAUCUAAGGGUAUGGACUCGCAAGAUGCGUCGUUGAAGGUCAUUGAGGAUCUUCAGAAGGCUCUGUUUAGAGUCAUAUCCUCUGGCAAAGGUAAACACGACAAGCUAUUGACUGAAUCUUCUAGGAAGAUUGAUGCAAUUAACAAUAGACUCACUGUUCUUGACAUGAAGCUUGAUUCCAAGCCUGCUUAUGUUGAAACUUUUGCAAUUGGGCUUGCCUCUGGAGCUGCCCUCAAAGGUAUUGGUGCAGUUGUGCCUCAUAUUAUUGCCCCUCUUACUCAGAUAUGGAACUCUGUUUCCUCUGCCAUUAAAUCUUCCCCCCAAUGAUAUUAGUAUGUAAUUAUUAGUUUGUAGAAAUAUUUUUUAAUGAAAUGACUAUGCUACCAUUUUUUAUGUCAUUAUAAUUCUUGUUUCCAAAAGGCAACAUAGAGUAGCACAAUUUUCCUCCUCAACACCUCAAUGCUAACCUGAAGACAAAAAUACCUAGAAGGUUUGUACAGGACAGCUUUCCCCUUAUUGGGUCAUUCACCUUAAAUAAUCCAAAAUCACAUGUUUGAUCCCAAAGGAGUUAAUUCUAAGUAAAAUUGAUUGACUUUAAAACAAUUAUCAAGUAACUUUUGUGUUAGAUAAACAAAUUUAUUCUGAAUUUUAUUUCUUUUAGAAUAAAAAAAAUCUAAAUACAAAUCACUUCAAAUUCAAUUUUAAACAAUUAAUUUUGCAAUUCAUUCAUCCAAACAAACAUUUGAAUUCACUACAUUCAAUUCAAAUUGAUACAGUAGAUUGCAUUCAUAUCACUCCAAGUCUACAUUAAAGAUUAAGAGUGAGAGCAAGAGAGAACGGUUUCAGGGUUAAGCCGUUGUUUGGAAGAACCAUCGAACAGUGGCAACGAAUCAUCCUGGCUGCAAAACAUAGCUUUGAGAACCUUUGAAUUAUCUUGGGGGGAUCUCUCAAAAAGGAGCCGAAGUGUUUCAAAUGCCUCUCUCUGUUGUCAUCUGCAUCAUAUAUAACAUGAUGUUCCCAAGCAAAAUAGAAUAUAGAUAUUUUAUAGAAUGAAAAGCCAGACAAUGAUUUUGCAUAUACGAAGCAAUCGAGUAAUUAGAUUGGCUUACCUAAAUACUGAGGACAAAGGGUGAGUUGCAUUCGAAGGUGAGUAUUUAUGUUAUCAAGUUUAUGGGCCAAACUCGAAAGCUCCCAAGUCUCUGUUGUUGAUGUCAAAUAUCUAAAAUCAAGCCAGGAAAGUUAAUAAUAAUGAUAACAAAACAGACAUGUUCAAUCAAGAGUUUGAUUAAAGGUUUUUUGGUAUAAAAAAAAGAGAGAAAUUAACAGGAGUUACUAAGAUAAAGUUGUGAUGAUUAUAGUGACAUCAAUACCCUUGACCCAAGCCAGUUAUGUCCAAAACAUGCGAUGCACAGGACACUAUACUCCGAAUGGUCCAAUAGACAGCACCGGGAAUAAGAUUGGAGGCAGUCAACAUCUCCGGUGCCUCAGGGUCAAUGUACUGAGAGGGAAGCUCAUGGAAUUGGACAACGUUAUUGGUUACAUCCAACAUUGCCUUGAGAAGGUUGUUAAUUGUUUGAAACUUUGGUCCCAAAUCAUCCACUUGUUACAGUGUUUCAUGGAUGUGCUUCAACUUUGCAACAGACUUAGCAAGACGAUUGGUGGCAUGAAGCUGAGCCACCAGCCAAAACUCCUUGAAGUUUGCUGCUAACGCUAUCACCACCUUGGCAUCCCAUGAAUAGCUUGAGAGCAUGCCCAGUAUUCCCAUGGUUGUGGCAUGUACAUCUCCACCGCUCAAAACACUUGCAAAAUAUCUAUUACACAAGCAUGAGAACAUGAAUAAACUAAACCACACAAGAGAUAAAGUAGUACUCCCUCCGGUUCUUUUUCUUAUAAAAAGAACCAUAGGUAGUAUUGUUGUAGGCGUUUAAAUAGAUGUGGCUAUUAUCAAUAUUUAUACAGAGGGAGAUAUGGUAUUAGAAUUGUAAGAGAAGAUUUAUUGUUAGGAAUAAGAAAACCUCGCAAGAAAAUUUUGUUGAUUGCGUGGUACGAAAUAUCUAGCACAUUAGCUAAAUCAGAUUGGUAUGCACUACUUUUCAUGGCAUCCAUCUGCCCUUGUUUUCCCUGUGUAAAAUUUCAAAACAUCCACACUCAGAAACCAAGUUAAUUGAGAACCAAAAUGCAAAAUGAGUGAGGAGAGAAAUUAUUGUAUGUUCCACGACCACUGUAUAUGGUUUCCAUUAUUCUCCACUUAAUACAUAGCUAAGUUACAUUCACUCUUUCCAAUAAAUUAAAAUUUUGACUAUGUACUAAAUCACGUAAAGAUUAAUUGAGAUCAUACAAUAAUUUCUGGAGAGAUGGGGGACACACAUAUACCUGAACAAUGCCAGCCAGGGAUGAGAGAGGCUGCGGUGAAAAAUGUCAACAACAACGUGAAAAAGAGGUCUAACGUCAAUGUGUCCAUGAACGGGAGCAUGAGUCGCACGAAUAUGUUUGGUCAUUGUAGUGUCAUCUGAUGCUUAAAAAAUAUGGCGGCUAGGCCUCGAUUGCAUCUUCCGGGACACCAUUGCCAUAACGGAAAUUAAGGAUGCAGGUAAGGAAGAGGAUCAAAAUAGAUAAUGUUUAGGAUCACUGAUGGGUUGAUGAAUUUGGGUUUGGUUAUUGCUAGACUGCUAGUUAGUGCCAGUGGCUUCUUAGAUAGUUAUGGAUGCCAAAUUUUGUCGAAUCUUUGCCUUACUUGUAUUUGGGUUCAAAUCACAUAAAGUAAGAAAGGAAAUUGGAAUAUCAGAUAAAGGAUUUGUCGAAUUUAUACCUUCAUCAUCGGUUGUGGCUUUCUUAUUGUUGCUAUCCUUCUGUCAAAUAAAAAUAAAAUCACACUAGUGCUGUAAACUUUUUAGGGUAUUUAAUUCGUAACUUUCAUAUAUUGGCAACCUGUUAGUCUAUCAGUAGUUUUUUCACAUGCACUUUUAACGUAACACGUUGCAAAAUUACCAACCCAAAAAUAUAAUAAAUUCACAAUGACGAAUCACAAGCUACGAGUUAUUGCGAGAAAGGUAUAAAUCUUUCGCAACUUCUAUGAUGCGAAAGAACCAUUGCUAUUUAUUAAAGUGUGAAAGUAGUUUGCAAGUAUAUAUUUGCUGUCACUUUACGAUGACAUUGACCGUUCGAAACUUGCAGGGUUUAAGUGGAACUAAAGCUCUGUUCAAUAACUUAAUUAUUAGCAGCAUGUAAAGGAUUUGCGAAAAUAAACUUUGUUCAAUAUUAUAAGAUAAAGUUUUAGGUUGGGUCCACAACGUAAGUUGCCACCAUUUUAAUAUUUGUGUUAUUGAAUUCAUGAAAAUUUCGUUCACAUAGAUCAUUUUAUCCAAGUCUUUAUCACCUCCUAAAACAAGAUUCUCCGCAACACAUUCUUGAUUUUGGUGUUGGGCAACAUUCAAGCUCCUUAAGCCAAAAAUCCUCGUUAACACUUAUAAAUUUAUACAUUUUCACUAUUAUUAUACUAUGCACUGAAUAUUCACACGGAUAUGCUUAUUUACUGCAUCAUGUUCAUGCAAUUAAAACGUAAGCAAGGGAUACCUUUGAUGAGUACAACAUAUCGACCCAAAUUCUUAAAAGCAACUUAUAUUGAGCUCAAUGAUUUCCACAAAAGGUCCGGUGAAUUCAGCAUGGAUAAUGUCGAGGUUGUGGAGAUUGACCUCCUUCCACUGUCGAUAAGUUUGAACCAUUGGCUUCCAGGGUCACAUGUCUUAUCUUUGCUCAAGCAUUUACAAGCAUUGGUCACAAUGAUGUUGUUAUCAUCUACAUCUAGACAUAAAUUAGAACCGUCGCUUAGUUUAGAUGAAAGGUGCAUGUUCGAAUCUGAAAUCAUUUCCCAUUUAGAGUUAGGAUCUGAGCAUGUCAUGCUAAGUGUUGCAGGCUUCCUUUCUUCCUCUGCAUGUAUGCAGAAAUCUGUGUUGUUUACCAAUAGGGUCUUUUGAGGUGUGUAUGUCCAGGCAUCAGAAGAAGAGCAAGCAGCCAACGUUAGUGAUGUUAGCUGUGAUUUACUUAUGACACAGAGACCUGUCAAAGGGUGGAAUAUCAGUUUGUGUGGAUUGCCUUCUAUGAUGCCUGGUCCUGCACAAUGUCAAACAAUUAGGUGACAAAUUAGUAAUAAUGGUAUUUUCUAACCAACUAAUAGUGCAAAGUUUGGAAAAGAAUAAUUGCCCAAAUUUUGCGAAGUAUUUGCAAAAUUGGAUCAUUCAAAAAUAGCUUUAACAGAAAAGGGCGAGUACAAAAGCAAAAGGCACAAGAGUUAGGAAUGUACUAACACAGUUUUUUUAAUACAUUCUUUUAAAGACAUUCUCUUCUAUUGGUUGAAAUUUAUUGGAAAUUAUAAAAUUUUAUGAGUCUUAUAUCUUAUUUAAUGAUUUUGCCUCUUUUUUUUUAAGGUUAAUUAAUAUGUCUCUUGAUUUUGCAGUUUUCAAUAAGAUUUAACCAAUAAAAAAAUAUUAAAAAAAGUAUAUAAAAGAGUGUAUUGCUAACAGUACAGAAACAUGAAUAAAGGAAGUACAAGAAAGUCCUAAUUAGUGGUUAAGGUGGCGGUCAUACCUCGAAAUGGAAUUUGGAGGGCAGAGAUUCUGUUUAAGAAACUGGUACUCCUAACCUGAUUCCAAUCCCAAGUGAGAAGGCCAUAAAACUCUUCCAUUCCUAUAACCCCUUCUCUAAAGUAGUAACUACCAACAAGUGUCCAAUAGGCCCAAUCCAAGUCAAGCUCAGCUACCAGUGCCAGAAAACAGUUAAGGUAUCGGUUGUCAUUCACAUUGGUACCUCUCAAGUCCCCACCAAACUCACUCACAAACAAUGGCCAUCCUUGGUCCACUAAGAAGCCAGAUGUUUUCUUUAUAUUUGCUGUCACUUUUCCACAUACUUGGUUUGGGUUCCCAUCAGCCCAAGCUCCACCAUCAGUGAAGCCAUACCUGUGCACCUCAAAUACUAGUUUCCCUUUGAAUGUGAGGCUCACUGGUCGAUCCCGAAGGAAUGACAAGUCUGUGUCAAAAUUUAGGCCAGAUAGAAUGACUAGAACAUCUGGAUUUGCUGCAUGAGCAGCUUCUGCUCCUUUCACCAUAUACCUUCAAUUCAGAAUAACAACUUAAUUAUCAUCUACACAGGAAUUUUCUUUCUUUCUUGUGUUUUUUUUUUUUUUUUUUUAACUAUUCCGUUGUGAUAUACUCCUGUGAAUAUGAUUUGGGUUUGCAAAUCAUCUACAUGGUCAUAAAUCUUACCAAAACUAUGUAGGAAAUUGAUUUAGUGCUGUAAAACAAGCCAGCGAACAAUGAAGGAAUUGCAAUGUUUGGAAAUUGUGUUCAAGGUGAUAAAUUUGUUAGGUUUAAAUAUAUUUUCAUAAUUAUAAUAUAAUUCAUUUUAAUUUUGCUAUCAUAAUUUUACUUUUAUUUUAUUUUAGUAAUUAUGAUCGGUCAAGGCCUAUUAAUGAUCUGACAUAUUUCGUUAAUUAGUCACAUCUUCACUUAAUUAAUGAUUUAAGAUCCAUUUCAAGAUGGGAUUAUAGUUGUUACUUGUUAGCAGUUACUUACUUGUACCAAUCAUUAACAUUCUGUCUAGAUCCUCGGAGCUCAUUCCUUAAGCUUAUGCCCACAACUGCUGUAACUCCCUUGAAAAGGGUGGCCAUCUUGGUGAGGCCCAAUAUCCACUGAUUUGGGUCAAAAAAUUUGUCACCGAAGAAGCCAUUGCCGUCCGUGUUACCGCAGCACCAUCCUGGCUGGGUCACGUGGUUGUCCAAAAUCACCAUCACAUCGUUGUCCCCGAGACUCUUCACCACUGCCUGGACACAUCACACAAUAUUACCGAUAUUCAGAAUUAUUUUGAAUCCAAAGUUAAGGAUUAAUUUCUCAAACUAUUAAGACUUGUUUGGAGGAUUGAUUCCUUUUAACACAAUUUUUAUAUUCACCACAUAGAGAUUAAACUCUAGACUAUAUACUUAAAACACAAAAUUAUCUUUUAACUAUGUCAUACCAUAAUCUCUUUAAUUUUAUUAUAGUUUAAUUAUAUUUUAAAUCUCUUUAGUUUGAAUUAUGUGAGAUUUUAGUUCCUCACAUGUGUUUUGAAUUAAUUUAGUAAUUAACUAUCUUUAGUUUUAAAUCUUAGCAAAUCUAAUGAUUAUAAAUAUUCUUUUACUCAAAACCCACUCACUAAAAUAUCAAAUUUUUUUCGAAAUAAAAAAAUCAAUUUCUUAAUUUCCUCUCUAAUCUUAAUCAUUAUCCUAUUUUUUUUAUAAAAAAAUUCACUAAAUCAUCAACCUCUCAAACAUUUGAAUAAAAAACAACAAUUUAAAAAAUUCAAGUAGAAGAAAAUCAAUAGAAGAAACAAAUUUAUUUAAUUUUAAAAACAGAAAUCAAAUUAGCUCAAACCAAAAUUAUACAUAUUUCAAAUUAAACGAACAACAAAUGUAAUUAAGUCAAAAAAUAUUUUUACAGAGCAAAUAUUUUGUAUUAUUGAAAACUCAAUAAAACCAACAAAAAAAUAGUAAUGUAAUUAUGCAUGCAUGACGUAAUAAGAAACUAACGGAAGAACAAAAAAUAGGCUAGCCCACUGCUCACGUCAACAAUGAUGAAUUUAAUAAGGAUAUUGCGACAUUUACAUGGCAAGCUGACCCAUAGAAAAUUAGUUUAUUGAAGCACUCAAUUAUUAAAAACCACAAUAAGUCAAUCGCCAUGGGAUAAGCGUCACCGAUCGAUAACAUCAAUGAUCAAGUGACAAGAUUUAAGAACUAAAAACACACGUACGAUGAGGUAAUUAAAAUUAGUCAACGAAUUGGUAAGGUUGAUUUAUGAAUGAAUUGAAUUGGGUAAGAAAUAGUAGUAGUUGAAUUAAACUUACCUGAAAAGCUUGGAUGAGAGAAAGAUCGAUGAUGGAGGGGUUGUUGGUUUGGACACCAGCAAUGGAUUCAAGGAGGCCAAGGCUCUGAAAGGAUCGUCUAACGGUGAGAGAAGCAAGAGAGUCAUUGGUGACCAAAAGUGUGGGCCAAGUGAGCCUGACACAGUUGAAGCCCAUGGACUUUAUUCCCUUUGAAAUGACAUCCACGGGCUUUUUGCUGAGCCCUUCGGCCACCACAGCUUCCAAAUGGGACACCCAAUUGACACAGGCUAGUUUCACCCUUCGGCCAUCUUGGUCGAGGAUCCAUCGGGAAUCCGUGUGAAGAAGACCCGUCACAGGCACUGUGUUAUCAUGGUCAACUUCUUCGAACGUGGAGGAGAGUAAUGCUAUUAUAAGUAUUGGUGCAGAGAGAACAGUGAAAACCAACGUGCUCGACCACCACCUACCCAUUUCCAUUUCAUAUGAUAUUACUUGAUAUUCCACGGCAAAACAGACCAAUAUGUUGUUUACUGAAGAGAUAGGAAUAGGAUGUCUAUAUAUACAUGUGGGGAAUUUGUGUUUCUGUGUACUGUUCUUUUGUCAUCUUGUUAUGUACCUGCCAAGUCUUUCUCAUUUGAGUAACUCGUUUGUUUCACAUGAUUAUUUUACAUUUUGAGAAAUCACAUACCAAAAAAUAUUAUUGUAGAAAAUGUUUAAAUACAUUUCUCUAUAAACACUUGUAACUUGUAAGAGAAGAAAAAAAUUGAAAUAAACUUUUCACAUAUAUUAAAUUUAUUUUAUACAUAAAUUAAUUUAUAAAAAUUCUUUUAUUUAAUUCCUCUAAAAACUUAUUUUAAUUUAUACAUAUAAGUUACUUUCGGGCGUAGAAAAACUUAUUUUAAUUUAUAUAAAAAAACCGGUUCAAAUGGAACAUGAUUUUAACCAAAUUCAAACACCGAUCUUUACCUCUUUGAAGAAAAAAAGAAAUGUUUUACAAAAUCAAUUUUAUUAACCUUAUUUCUAUAAAAUCAAUUCCAUUAACCUAACUGGUUUUUACCUCAAUCAUUUUUUUUAUUUGAAUAAAAUUAGUUCAAAACUAAUUUGGUUCAUAAACGAUUUUUUAAAACCAAUUCUAGUCUAAAUGAAUUCGACUAUCUGAAUGUAAAAUUAAAUUGCUUAAAACAGUCUGCAACUAUUUUGGUUUGGUUUUUUUAGUAAGUUAAAUUUUUCACACUCCUGAAUUUAACCGAGCUAUGGAUAAACUUUAUUUCGUUUUCAUUUAUAAAUGUUUAUGAAACAAAGUCUAACUCGCUUUUAAGAAAGUAAAUGUACCAAGUAGCUUCACUAGAUUGAUUCCCCUAAGUAUAUGCAACCAUUACGAAAAGAAAAGGUGAAGUAGUCAUUAAGUGAAUAUAAUUCUCUCUUUACAUAUGCAAUUCAUCUUAUACAAAAAAAGGUGAAUAACUCUUCUUUAUUAGCUUCGGAAGGUUGUGCAAAAUCAAGGACUAAAAUCCCCUGUCAAGGCGGCGUAUAGGUAGUAAAGAAACACACAUGUAAGAAGUUUUCAACUUCGUACUAAUUGAUAGUUUUAAAAUGAGCAUUGAAAAUUUAUUAAGUGAAAUUAAUUAAUCUUUUUGACAACAAUAUUUUAGGAAGGUUGUCAUGAUUUUUUUAUAAUAUUUAUUUCUAUAUAAUAAAUUUGAAUUUUUUUAAUGAGAAUGUUUUUAAGAAUAAUUAUUGAAUAAAAUUAUUUUUAAGAGAUAUUAUUUAAUGAUAACCUUUUCAGGAGUUACUUUCAUUCUCAUUGAGUCACAUGUCUUAUCUUAAUCUUAUAUAUUAACAUUUAUUUAUUUUUAAUUAUCCUCUUCAAAUAUAUUUCUUAAUUUUAUUUUAUUUUUUACAUAAUUGACCAUCCCUGCUCUGAUCGCAAUCCUGAAAUAAGAUUCUCUAUGGCACGAUGUAUACUAUGUUGACUUUGGUGUCGUGUAGCAAUGGUGCCCUGGUCUUGAGCCAAAAAUCCCAGCCAACGUUAGUAAAUUCUGUACAUAUUUUAAUAGUGGUAUAUUAUGUAUUGAAUUCAAUAGUCAUACAUAUGGACAUGUUUAAUGCAUCACUUUCCUGCCAUUAAAACAUAAGUACAUGGUUAGAGAAAUUUACAGUAAUAUUCUUAAAACAACUUAUGCUGAGCUUAAUGGUUUCCAUAAAGGUCUGAUGAAUUUAGCAUGGAUGAUGUUGAGGUUGUCAACAUUGAUCUCCUUCCGCUGUCAAUAAGUUUGAACCAUUGGCUACUAGGGUCACAUGUACGAUCUCUGCUCAAGCAUUUGCAAGCAUUGGUCACAAUGUUGUUGUUAUCGUCUACAUCUAAGCAUACAUUAGAAUCAUCGCUGAGUUUAGAUGAGAGAUGCAACUUCGAAUCUGAGAUCAUUUCCCAUCUAGAGUUAGGAUCUGAGCAUAUUAUCCCAAGUUUUGCAGGCAUCCCUUCAUUCUCUGCUUGUAUGCAGAAGUAAGUUCCUUUUAUUGAUAGAAUUUUCUGGGGUGUGUAUUUCCAGCCAUCAGAUAAAUAGCAAGGACCCAAUGUCAAUGGGUCUAGUAAUGACUUUCUUAUGACACACAAACCGGUCAAAGGAUGGAAUAUCAAUUUGUAUGGAUUGCCUCUUGUUAUUCCUGGACCUGCAUGUUAUUGACAGAGAAAUGUAGUUCAAGUUUUCAAGAAGUGCUAAAUUGGUAGUUUAGCCCUACACUAAAUAUAUUGGCAAUUUAUUUUUCGUUGAACAACAUAUACAUCAACGGUAGCAAACUCAAUACUUUUGUUAGUAACAUGAACAUUUUUAUAUGAUAUCUCUAUCAAUGUGUAAUAUGGUUGACAGAUAAUUGAUCCUUAAGUAUAUAAUUAAGGAUUCGAUCUCCAGAUAUAUGCAUACAGAUAAACAUAUUUUGGGAAAAGUUAAUAUCUUUUAAAUAGAUGUCAAUAUCUUCAAGUGAUUAGUCUCUAACUUUGGAUUAGGAUUCACCAAAAAAUAAAUACCAUGGCUUUAUCAAAGUAUUCCUAAAGUAGUAAAUUGGUAGUGAUAUUUUUCAACCAACUAAUAGUGUUGAGUUAGGAAAAGAACAUUUGCACAAAUUAUGUACUACAUACCUCGAAAUGGAAGUUGGAGGGCAGAGAUUCUGUUUAAGAAAGUGGUAUUUCUAACUUGGGUCCAGUCCCAACUAAGAAUCCCAUAAAACUCUUCCAUUCCUAUAACUCCUUGUCUAAAGUAGUAGCUACCAACAAGUGUCCACAAGGCCCAAUCCAAGUCAAGCUCAGCUGCCACUGCCAAGAAGCAGUUAAGGUAGCGGUUGUCAUUCACGUUGGUACCUCUCAAGUCUCCACCAAACUCACUAAUAAACAAUGGCCAUCCUUGGUUCACUAAAAAGCCUGAGGUUCUCAUCAUAUUUCCUGCCACUUGUCCACAUACUUGGUUUGGAUUCCCAUUAACCCAAGCUUGACCAUCAGUGAAGGCAUACCAGUGUGCCUCAUAUACUAAUUUCCCCUUAAAUGUGAGGCUCACUGGCCGAUUUUGAAUGAAAGAUAAGUCUUUAUCAAAAUUCAGGCCGGAUAAAAUAACAAGAACAUCCGGAUUUGCUGCAUGAAUCGCUUCUGCUCCUUUCACCAUGUACCUUUUGUUCAGAACAACAUGUCAGUCACAUGAGAUUUCUCUCUCUUUUAUUUAUUUAUUUUUCUUUCUAAUUUUAACUAAACCAUGGUUUUAUCCCUCAUAAAAUACAGAGACAAGUAACUUAAAUUGUAUUUACUCUAGCACCAGCCACCAGCUAAUUUAGAAAAAAAAAAAGAGGGAGAGAGAAUGUUUUUUUACUGCAAGUAACUUAUAUUAUUUCAUUCAGAAUAAUGACAUCAAUACAACUAAGAACAUGAUCAAAAUAUUGAUGAAAUUUAGAUGCCCUAGCAAAUAUUAAGAAUGACAAAAUUGGGUUGGUUCUCUGCCUACUAGUUUUGGCCUUUUUUUUUCGAGUGAGGUUGGGAUUUUCAACCCAUCCCCCAUUUUGAUCCGUUAAAAAAUGAAUUAAGAGUAAAUCAAUUCAUCAAUCCUUUUUUAUUAAAAAAAUGUAAUAUUUAUUUUGAUAUUUUAUACAUAUAUUAUUAAUUUUUAAUUUAUUUAUUUUUUCUAAAUAAAUUAUUAAUCAAAAUUUAAGAUAAUAUAUUUAAUUUUUUUAAUAAAUAUUUAUUAUUUAAUAGUUAUAAAAAAAUAAAAUUAAUUUAAAUAUAUUUAUUAUUAUUUUUAAUAUUUUAAUUUGGACGGACUAACCCCAACAAAAAUAAGAUGGAUUGUUACUUUCAAUCUAUAUAUGAAAUGUGAGACAGAACAUAUUAACUCGUAUUGCUACCCCUAGCUAACACAUAUGAGAGCGAACAUUAUUAACAAUUUAACAUAUAAAAAUAGUAUUUUACUUUAAUUUUGAUAAUCGCAUACUAUUCAACCCACAAUUACAACAUUAAUAUAAUUACUUUUAGAUUACAGAAAUAGAGAAAGUAUUAUAUAAACUUUGACAUUUCUUAAAAAAAGACACUUUGACUGUUAGCACUUACUUGUACCAAUCGUUGACAUUCUGUUUGGGCCCUCGGAGCUCAUUCCUCAAGCUCAUGCCCACCACAUUAGUGACUCCAUUGAAGAGGGAGGCCAUCUUGGUGAGGCCCAAUAUCCACUGGUUUGGGUCAAAAAAUUUGUCACCGAAGAAGCCAUUGCCGUCGGAGUUACUGCAGCACCACCCUGGCUGGGUUAUGUGGUUGUCCAAUAUCACCAUCACAUCGUUGUCACCGAGACUUUUCACCACUGCCUAUCGUCAUCACAAAAUGUUGCCCACACUCAACUCAAACUUGAACAAACUCAUACUAUACGUAAGUUAGUUGAGAGUGUGAUUCGUACUCUUAAAAUAUGUUACCCUUAAAAAAUACCCACCAAGAAACUGUCCAUUAUAAAAAUAAUAUUUUAAAAAAAUAAUUUAAUUAAUAAAAUUUAUUUUAUAAUAAAAAAUAAAAAACUUAAUGUCUAUGGGUUCUGCUAAUAAUAUAAAAUUAAUAUUUAUCGAUAAAAAAAAAUCAUACAUGAUGAGUAAAUUUUACACAACCAUCCAAUUAUAAUUCUUUCUAUAUAUAAUAUGAUAAAUUUAUUAGUUUUUUAAAUAAUUAUUUUAAAGUAACUUAAACGUAAUUUAUAAUUAGAUGAUAAUGUCAAAUAAUUUUACGCAUAGACAUUAAAUUCAUAAAACAUAUGAUUAUUUAAAAUUUUAAAAAUUAAAUUACUAAUUAUUUUUAAUGCUGGAUGUUGAUUGGAAUUAGAAAGUAUAAACCGAGAAUUUGUUUGUAAAUUUAGACAAAUAACAAAAACAUAUUCUAGUCAAUAUCUGCAACAUAAAUGGCAAUUACUCAGGAAGUUGGUUGGAGCUAUUUUCAAUAACCACCCAAAGCCAAUCGCCAUCAAAUAUGCGCCAACACAUCAGCGAUGAUAAGAUUAAUAGCAAAGAAGAUAAGGAUGAUGAGGUGAUUCAAAUUAGUAAACAAACUGGUUAGGCAAAGGAAAUAAUUGAAUUGAAUAUGAUAAUAAAAACAAUUUACCUGAAAAGCUUGGAUGAGGGGAAGAUCGAUAAUGGAGGGGUUGUUGGUUUGGACACCAGCAAUGGAUUCAAGGAGGGCAAGGUUCUGAAAGGAGCUUCUAACGGUGAGAGAAGCAAGAGAGUCAUUAGUGACCAAAACUAUAGGCCAAGUGAGCCUGACACAGUUGAAGCCCAUGGACUUUAUUCCAUUUGAAAUGACAUCCACGGGCUUUUUGCUGAGCCCUUCGGCCACCACAGCUUCCAAAUGGGACACCCAAUUCACACAUGCCAGCUUGACCCUCUGCCCAUCUUCGUUGACGAUCCAUCGUGAAUCCGUGUGAAGUGGAAGACCCUUAACUUCAACUAUGGCUCCGGAGAGCAAUAUUGUUGUUAUUAGUGCAGAGACAAAAUUGAAGACCAUUUCGUGUUUCUUCAGUAGUAUCAUGUCUAUGGCUUCAUAUUCCGCACCUGUGAGAUUCUCUGCACGCCGGAACAAGCCAAUAUAUAUCUUGAGGAUGUGGGAUUGUACAUGUGCCAACAAAAUUAUUUUUUAAGUUUAAGCAACUCGUUCAUUUAAUGUCAUUUUGUCGUUUAUUUCAAAAGUAAUACUUUCAAAAUAUUUAUCGUUAUUUUACACAGAUUAAAUAAUAAUAAUAAAAAAUAAAUAAAUAAAAAGAGUAAUAAUUUUAUAAAAUUAAUAUUUUAUCGUCAUUAAUUUAUUUUUAUAUUUUGUAAUUCAUUAUUAAUAUAUAAGAGAUAUAAAUAAAAAAAAUUAAUAUUAAAUUAAAAAAUUAAAAUAAUUAUUAUAUUAAGAUAAUUUUUUUGGACGACAAUUAUAAUAUAAUGGAGAAGUAUAUCUUUAUCCUUCUUUAUCAUUAAAUUAUUCCUUAUAAUAUAUAUGGAUCCUACAAUCUAUCAUGAUAGAUUGAUAAGUUCUAUUUGAUAAAUAAAAAAAUUGUGUCAUUUUUCUUUCUUUCUAAUGUACAUAAUUAUAUCAUGUUACUCAAUACUAUUAAGAGAAUUCAAUUUCUGUCUUACCAGGUGAAUAAGGUGACUAGUUUAAGGUGAAGGCUUGCAUAUUUAUUAAUUUUUAUGAUAAUGAUAUAUAUAUAUAUAUAUAUAUAUAUAUAUAUAUGACCAAGUUUAAUAUCUAUAUAUUAUUGUGAGUCAGCGUAAAUAAUGAGAUCCAGUGUUUGAAAGUUUCUGAAUUUUAUUUUCCUCCUAAAAAAUACACUGAGUCAAUGCCUAUAAAUACAAAAGUUUCAAAAAUUAACUCAUUAAAUUACACAUUUAAAGAUAAAAAUGAUUAUUUAUUCUAAGAUUUUUUAACCCAUAUAAAUACAAAAAAAUAUGAUUCUCAUAUCCUUCACCAAUUAUAUUUGUUGAACUGGUCCACUCGAAAUUAGGUAAUUAUCCACAAUACUAAAAUGGAGUACAAACAAAUAUAUAUUCACAAAAUUUUUUCCUCCCACAAACUUUAUGUUUAACAUCCUACUAACUUUUAGUAAAACAUUGUGGUUGAUUGCUUCUUCUAGUAUACUUUUUUCCCCCUCUAAGCAAGAUGAUAAAGUAGAAUAGGUAGUUACCCACAAUAUUAAAACGGGAUACAAUCGAAUAUAUAUUCACAACAUUUUGCAAUUAGAAUAUUAACUUUAAUAAUUAAUGUUAGAUAAUUAUCUUUAUAAUUUUAUUUAUUGAUGACUUGAGUUUAGACAUUUUAAUGUUAUGUUUGUUUAUUUUUUAAUAUUACUUAUGUAUGUUUGGAUUAUCUAAGAAUGAAAUCUUAUCGUAAUUAUUUUUUUAUUGAUUUAUAAUUAUUAACCUUAUACAUAAAUAAAGUGUGAAUCACAUAUACAAACAUGAAUAUAUAAGUACCAAAAGAUAUAAGAAUGAUGAUCAAAAUAUAAAAAUGAAUAUUAUUAUAAGAUCUUAUCUGGAUCCAUACCUUUAUCAUAUCCAAUCUCUAAUUUUUGUUUUGCAUUAUUAGCGUCGUAAAUGCAGGAAAAAUGUAUACCUACACUUCAUUUUGGGAUGGAUUGAGACAGGGAAGGAUAGGAAGAUAAAAAAAUGAUAGAUAUAAUAACUGAUGUAAUAAAAAAAAGUUGAAAAAAAUAAAAAUGAGAUGAUAAAAAAAUGUAGUUUUAUAUCCUAAAUGCAUUAUGUGAUUGCAUUGUAAUAGUAACGUAGACGUACUGUGACUCCAUCUGGUUUGCUAGUUUGAAGUUUAAUAAACACUUGAACUUAAACGUGGUGCUAAAUAAUAAUUGGGUAGAUGAUAUCACGCAACCUUUGGCGACAUUCUUUCUUUCUGCAUUUUCUGCAGGAAAUUAUAACUUACUAAUUUGUAUAUAUCGUGCGUGCACUCCAUAGUUUCGCUUCGAGAUAAAAUGAAAUAACGGCUACCAAAGUUCAUACCUGAAUUGCGGGGAACACUGCAACACUUGCAAUGCAAGGCAGUGGAACAAACUGCCCAUUGCUUCUUAUUUUGGUAUCUAUGGCUAUUGCUUACUACAAUCUGUGCUGUGCUCGAUUUUGUUAUACAAUUAUACCGUGUCUUUGUAUGAUUGCGCAUCUCUUUCUUCGUAACUUUUUUUUCUUGUUGUUUGUGUUUGAAAUUUUAAAAUUUUAAAAUAAUUUGAUUUAGACUUUAGAAAUUCACUUUUGUGUUUCAAAUUUAAAUAAAACAUGAUUUUUUUAGUGAUUUACAAGUUUCAAAUGUGUGUCAGUCUGUGACAGAUGACAAUAAACAAGCUCUUUUAUUUAGUCGUGUUUUGUUGUUUAUGGUGAUUUUGUCAAAGGAAAACCAAUGACUGUCAGGCAUAAAGAAAUGAACUGUGAGACCAAGACGUGUAUAAUUUAAAUACAAGAAGAAAACAAAAACAAAUAGUAUACUUAAAAGAACCUAAGAAAUGUUUUACAAGCAACUUACAUCAAAACAUGAAACCUAAUUGGGACGCACAAACUUCAAAUGUACAAUGAGGCAACGCGCAUUCACAACUCUUCCUAGUUCCUACCCUGGCAUAUUUAUUUAUUUUUGUUCAAAAUUGCGAUAUGCAGUUUUGGAUAGGCAAAAAUCUAAAAAACUUAUCCACCACCAUGAUCCUGGCUAACCCUGCUCCUCUCUUUGCUACCCUGCCUAUGAUAUAUCACGUUAGUUUUUGACUUAUGAUAUCAAUUAAGCACUCAGUUUAUGACAUUAACGUAACUAACCUUUUUUCUGCAAUGCAAGGUUAACUAGUAAAGCUUUAUUCUGGUAGUGAUUGUGCUUCGGCAAAUGGGGCAGCAUUCGAGGUUUUCUCCACAGUCACAGCAAGUCUGCCAAAUGUGAGAAAAUAACAACAGUGGGAAGAAAAGUUAAUAUAAUGUCCUAAUCAUAUAGUCUUAGAUUCAUCAAGAUGAAUCGGUAGCAUAUAAUUCAACUUGUUACCUGGUGCCCGCAACCAAAUGCCAUAUCCUUAUCAUUAGUAAGACAAAUCGGGCAAACCUGCGGUUAACCAUGUCAUAUGUAAACCAUUGUUGACUUCUUGUGCACAGAAACAUCAUGAAUCAUGAUGAUCACGUCAUAUGUCUCGAGAUUAUAUGAAAGUCACAUCUUAAGUUGAAAAAAGAAUGGUCUAAAUAGUACCUUACUAUCAUAUAAGUUUCUUGAAGAUGAUUCUGCGUUAACAUUAUCAUAAUAUGUUGGUGUGCUCUGCUGAAAACUGUUUGAAGGAAGAGGUAUUGUGCUGCUGCUGGAAGCCCUCUCAUAAUGAGGUGGAGGUAGAGGAACCCUGUCUGCUGAAUGUCCUCUCCGUGCACUACUUUCAUCAAUGAAGACACGAAGCAAGUUCAGUUAAUAUCUUAAUAAAAUCUUCUAUAACAGGCCAUAAGUACCUUGUUUUUCUAUAUAAUAUUCAUUUAUUACCCCAAUAUGCCAAGGUCUAUGGUUGCCUUAUAUUGAGAAGGUAUCUCCAUCAAAGCUGAUAGUGCAAACUCUCUCUCUUUUCUGCUUGAGUCUAUACUCUCUGACAUUAUUUCCGUAAAAUUCACAAACUACAUGCAGCCAAAAAUAAAAUAUUCACAUUUCAGCUUAAUAUGAAGGACUGUGAAGAAGUAAAUGUGGCAAGUCAAUAGGACUAAGUGAAUUACACCAAACCUGAAAAUUGUCAAAUGCUCGAGCUGGGAUGUUAUCAUCAAAUUCCCUCAUCAUAUCCCAUGGUCCAUCUCCAACUCCCACCAAAACUAUUGAAAGUGGAUACUCACUGCAAUUUAAAGAGAGUAAGAGAAUGCAGGGUGGCAAUCCAGAAAAGAGAAAACUACAAAAUUUACCUGGCUUUUACAAUUGCAUCAAUUGUCUUCUCUUCCUGUGGACUUAGCUGGCCAUGUUGUGUGUCAACACUUCUGGUCACCUGUCGCAAUAUUUUUAAGUAUCAAUGUUUUUAGAUCUUAUACAUAAGAAAAAAAGGAAUUUCUACAGUAAAAUAUUAGUCAUUGUUGAAGCACUGACAAAAUUAAGGGCAUUUUAAGUUCAUCUUUUGUUCAGAUGUAUUCAUGUAUCCAAUUAAUCAUAGCAAAAUAUUGUAGUGAAGUAGGCGACAGACGUAGUUCAGAACUCACACACAUAUUAUGCUAAUCUAACAAUUAACAGUUUUCUUCUGCAGCUAUCAAUGCCCAGAUGUUUAUGUGUUAAGGUAGAUAUUUAUUAUUAUCACUAACAAAAGAAACCAAACAAAAAAUUUCUUUCAUAAAACAAUAGCAUUUUAGUUUUUUUUUUAAUCUAUGAUACUUUAGAGUCAUAAUCAUAUAGUUAGUGUGAUAACUGCCAAUGAAACAUUUGAUGACUGGUGCACGCUUGCACUAGUUUAAAGAAAUCUUCUUUUCAAUCUUGUGAAAUAUGUAUUAAAAAUACCUGUCCAUCAGCAAUUAUUAGCAGGACAUGAUAUUGGCCGCCACUUUGCUCAACUAUAGUCAUGGCCAUCUCAAUAAUUGGGGCAAAUGAAGUGGGUCCUGUCACAUAAAUGCAACGAGUCAUGCUGAGCCUAAUUCAAAAAUGCAAUGUAAGAUUAUUGGUGAAGGCAGCACCUGCUAGACGCAGGCGAGGAACAAUAUCUCUAUAUCUUGACAAAACUUCCUCAAAUCCAUGGCAGAACCUCUCAUCUGAAUGGAAACUGAAGACAUCUUGAUCAUGUGUUGAUGCUGACAGAGGAAAAAAGACAAGAAAGAAACACAAUCAAGUUUGCAAUUUUGAAACAUAAGCAAUCUGAAAGCAUGAAGAUUUAUAUAUGGAAUUACCAUCUCCAAAUCCAAAACAAGGAAUCAAGUUAUCCUCGUCAAAAACACUUAAAGUUUUCCCAAUAAUCGAGAUUGCUUGUUCAUAAGGAUUUUGACCACUUCCUAUAUGAUGUAAACUUUUUCGGUUGAAUGACCUCUUCCCUGAUUUCAAAGUGAUUUAUGCAAAUUUAAUUAACAACUCACUACAAGAAAUCCAAGCAUCAAGAUAUGACUAAGAGAUAAAACCUGUCCACUCGUUGCUCUUUGUAAAAUCAAUGCCAACAAUGAGAUUAGAAGAUUCCAGGCCAGCAUGUGAAAGAGCAGUGGUAACCUGUGCAAAAUUAUUUCAUUAUUUGACAAAAUAAGGUGUUCUUCUGUGAGUAAUAACCGUAAGAAUGGAAAUUUUGGGGAGUGAAACAACCAAUAAGAAUUUUCUCAUGCUGGUCUUGUUGCACUAUGAGAAAAGAAAAAAAGUAAAAUAAAGCAAUCUACUGUAAGCUUCAUCCAAAUAUUUUCUCAUACCAACCUUAUUGCAUUGCACUCUUGGACUAGUUUGGACAUAUCAGAGGUUGAUAACGUGUUUACUGCUACUCAUAUUAUUAAAUGAAUCAAGGGAUGCUCUGCUGAUUCAUGCAUGCAUGAUCAGGAAGAACAAUAAAAAUGAGAGACAGUAGUCUCUUUUCGUAGCAGCUUUUCUUAGGCCACUUCAUUUCAGCUGAACUUGUUUAACUAUAUUCUAUGGCUUGGAUUUAAAGCUCAUGCCAAGUUCAAAGAUCUGCUGAAGUAUAAAGGUCUGGUUAAAAGAAACGUUAGAAGUAUAUAUAAAGGUUUUACUCGGACUUGUAGUAAAAAUGUAGCAAUUCUAAGCAAGGGUUUCGCAAUUUUUUUUGCAAAAUUCAGCAUUUCUAUACAUUGUUUUCUUCUGGAACAUGGUCCCCAAAGCCCCAAACAAGAUCCAUUUGCUGGUCCAGUUCUGGCACAGAUUUUAACACUCUUUUCUGUGGGGAAACAUGUUUGUUGUUAGACUGAAUCCUUAUUAAGACUUAAGAACCUCAAUAUUUCGAUUUUCAAUGUGGACCAUCAUAGGCAGAAAUUUGAAGUCUGAUUUCAGAAAGAGCAUAACUGAUUCCCUUUGUUUCUUUCUUCUCCUCCCUUUUGUGCUGACUGAUGAAAUAUCAAUGCCGUUCAGGUAGAAGUAGAUAGACAUAUACUAGUUCAAGUCAAUGUCAUUAUGUCCCUAACCCCCUUUCUUACCAAACACAAAAAGUCAAUGAUGUAAACAGACCAAACCAAAAAUGAUGGAAAAAUGCUCAUAUAUUCAUACACAAAAAACACAAUUAUACCUAACCUAAGCAAAUGACAAAAACACAAUUAUAAGUAAGCAAAUGACAACAAUUACCUCAUCCAGUGAAUGGUAAUCAUCAGCUAUUCUUGAAUAUCUCCUAUCUAACCUCCUUUUUGGCCGUGAAUAGUCGUGGAAUGGAGCUGGUGCACGGUGGUGAAGAGGCGUAUUAUAAGGAUUUUGUUGUGGGUAUGCAUUUGGUGAUUGAGGGUAUCCAUAGCUAUCCCGUGAAGAUGAAGAACCAGCAGAUCCAUAUGAUGAAACAUGCCUUCUUUCAGACCGUUUUGAACUCUUACCUCCCAUGAUCGACUCCUUUAGAAUCAACACAAGCAAAAACAAAACAACCAAAGCUGUCCAAGUCUCUAGCUGCAAUUGCAAACAAUAUGUUAAACUAAAAGCAUCGCAUAUAUAUGUUCACUGAUAAUCCAAUCUGGAACACUGAAUAAGAAAACAAACCAUACAACUUUGACUAGCAGUAAAAUACAAAUUCUGGGAAACUAAAACUAAAUGAUGCAUACGAAAAUUUGUUCACGAAAUUUCAAGGCCUAAAAAAGACACUGGCAAAUAUGAAAGAGAAGACAAAGAAAAAUAAACUAAGGCGCUGAACUAUGGAGCAAUGAUGACUGAAUCAAAUGACACCUUUCCACAAAUGAUGACAGUAUCAACCUUUCCUCAAAUGCUACAAUGAAACUUAAAACUCAGAACAUUUUUUUUUUCCAUACCUCUAGAAGCAUUGUUUCCACACAAGAAUUCCAAAUGAAUUGUGAGAGAAUUAACAACACACGCUGGAUGUUAAUUAAUGUCUCACGCUAAUCGCGUCAAGUAGAAUAGCUUCUCCUUGUUGAACUAAAUAGAAGGAAGAGGACAACGAAUUAAGAAAGCUCCUGUUGGAAGGAAACUAGCUAGAAAGGUCAAGUCAACAACAACUGAUUAAUCUUUUCUUCCUAUUCAAUCUAGCCUAAAGAAUUUAUAUAUACUCUAUCUAUAUUAAAAUAUGUGAAAAGCCUUAAAAUCAUACUCCAGGACAAAUUAAUUAACACUUUAGUUGAGAAGCUUUGUUUACAUCGGCAUUCAAUAAGUAAAUGAAUAGAACGUUUACAAGUAAGCAAUAUAUAUAUAUAUAUAUAUAUAUAUAUUUGUCAAUUUGGAAUGGUAUUAGCAAAUUGAGACAAGAAAUUGCCUUUUUAUUUAUUCAUUCAUUCAUUCAAUAGAAAGUGGAAGUCACUUGUGUUUUUCCUCGAUCCUUCUCCGUAAAGUUGGUGUUAUCACGUAAAUAUUUACAGCUGAUAAGAAAUGCCAAUAUACAUUUUGCUAUGUUGACGAGUCCCGUGUUCAAAAGGACCGAAACUUUCAAGAAAUACCUCGUAAACCAAACUAAUUAAAUCAAUCACACUAUUAAGGGCUUUAAUGCAACAACUUAACUUGAGUUAUUAACUCUAUUUUAUUGGAUCUGUUCUUGCUACAUAGGAUUUAAGAAUAUUUUUAUUCUAAUGAAAGCACUUAAGAUUUUAAUUUAAUUUUAACAGGUCUUAUUUUAUCUCUCUAGCUGUGACUCCACACGCACCAUAGAAGGAUGAAAUCUAGUUACUAGCAUAAUAUCUUAUAAUUCCACUAAAGUCUCUUUUGUUAAGUAAUUACGCUAAUAAAUGACUUAACAGCAUAUACACUUCUCAUUAACUUAUCACGUUAUUAUUACAUAUAUUUAUUUUUUUUUUAUAAAUUAUAUUUUUAAAUAUUUCAUCCAUUAAUCUGAUGUCUCUAAAGGACUAAAAUCCUAUUUUACAGUGUAUAAUGAUUAUGCGUUCCGUGGCAUCAAGGAACACGAAGUUUGUUCCUUUUUGUCCCACCGACCAUGAAUCCAAUCCCCUGCCCUCACGCCUACCAUUGCCAUCUUCACUUCCCCAAUCCUAAAUCAGGCCCGUCCAAUCACCACCCAUAUUCCUUUCUUUUCUAAAUUUAUUUUUAUUUAUUUCCUUCACCUACACAUUCAUCAAUUUAAAACGAGAUAAACAAUCAUUUUUAUUUUAACACCACAGCAGCAUUUUUUUUUUUUAAUUGAAAUUGAAAUACAAAAAAUAGAUAAAUUCUUAAUUAUCAAUCCGAAAUUCUUCAGAGGCUGACUGGUAGGUACGGUGUGGCGGUGUUUCUUCAUCAAUCAUCAGCAACCUAAGACAAAAUCACAUUUCAUUAGAGUUCCCACUUUAUACUCCCAUGUUGUUGGUUCGCUCCAAUUUCUAGGGUUUAUCACAUUCAUAUAUAUGCUAUUAAAUUAAAUGGCCGGCACCGGCGACCUAGAUGCCAAUGCGGUGCUCAGCGACGUCGAGGACGACGGCGGCGAUCCGUUUCCGACCGCCACGAAGCUUCCCUCGCCGGAAGACGUCUCCGUCGAGAAAUUCCGGGAGGCUCUCGCGGAGCUCGAUCGGGAGCGGCAAGCGCGCGUUGCUGCGGAGAAUACGAAGUCAGAAUUGCAGGUUUCGUUCAACCGAUUGAAGGCGCUGGCACACGAGGCCAUAAAGAAGCGCGAUGAGUUCGGUCGCCAGCGAGACGACGCCAUUCGGGAGAAGGAGGAGACGGCGACGCAAUUAGAAGAAACCGCGAAGGAACGCGACGCGCUGCGAUCGGAGAUUGGGAAUUCGAGCCACAUGAUGGUCACCGGCAUGGAGAAGAUCUCGGCGAAGGUGAGCAGCUUCUCCGGCAACGCGCUGCCGCUGCCGCGUUCGCAGAAAUACACCGGCAUGGCGGCGGUGGCGUACGGCGUAAUCAAGCGCGCGAAUGAGAUCGUGGAGGAGCUUUUGAAGCAGAACGAGGCGACCACGAAGGCUAGGAACGAGGCGAGGGAGCAGAUGGAGCAGCGGAAUUACGAGAUUGCCAUUGAGGUUUCUCAGCUUGAGGCCACGAUCAGUGGCUUGAGGGAUGAGGUUGCAAAGAAGGUUUUAACUGUUGAGGAUUUGGAGAGGGAUUUAGCUGUUAGGGAUCAGAGGCUGAAUGAGGUUUCGGAGAAUUUGAGCAAGGAGCAAAGUGAGGCUUUGCAGUUGAAGGAGUUUGUUGGUGAGUGUGAGGAGAAGUUGAGUAAGUUGGAAUCUCGGAUGGAAUCACAGAGGCCUUUGUUGAUUGAUCAGUUGAGUUUUGUUUCCAAAAUUCACAACCAGAUUUGCAAUGUUGUUAGGAUAAUUGACCACGGUAGCACCGAAGAGCUAUCUGAAUCGUUGUUUGUCCCGCAAGAAACGGAUGUUGAGGAGAAUAUUCGUGCCUCUUUGGCUGGGAUGGAGUCCAUAUAUGAGUUGACCAAGAUUGUUGUUCAGAAAGCUAAGGAUGUGCUUGAGGAGAAGGAUCGUGAGAUUAAGAGUUUACAUGAGACGUUGGCUCGGUUAGUUAGGGAGAAGGAUCAAAUUGGUUCUUUUCUUAGGAGUGCUUUGUCUAAGAGGGUGGCAGUUGAUCCGUCUUCUAGAAAGAGUGAGCUGUUUCAAGCUGCAGAGAAUGGGUUGAGAGAGGCUGGAAUAGAUUUCAAAUUCAGUAAGCUUCUUGGAGAUGGGAAAGUUGCAGCUUCAAAUGACAAGUCUGAUACAACGGAAAAAGAAGAGGAUGAAAUAUACUCCCUGGUUAAGCAUUUGUUUCUCUUCCUAGUUUUUAAUGAAACUUGUUCCCAUCGUACUUUGCAUUUUGAAGACCCGUCAAUGAAUUCUUUGUGCAUGCAUGCAGGCUGGUGCUUUGGAGGAUGUUGUUAAGGCAUCUCAGCUUGAGAUCAUCGAGCUGAAGCAUACUGUGGGUGAAUUAAGGUACUUAACAUCAGAAUUAAAUGCAUAGUUGCUUGCGUAUUUGCAAUUUGCAGUUGUGUUGACAUCAUAACUUUUUUUCUUUGCAUAUUGCUUAACUGCAUUAAGGGCAGAGUUGAGCUUACUUAAGCAGCAUGUAGAAGCUCAGGCCAAGGAGCUUGACCAUAGAAUGCAUCGGGUAGAGGAACUUGAAGAGAAGGAGAGAGUGGCAAAUGAAAAUGUAAGUCUAAAUUUGUUUGUGAUUUUAAUUUGAUCUAGUUCCUUAACCAUGGACAGUUUUAUCUUUAAUAUUUGUAUAUUGUAGAACAUAGAAUUUUGUUGUGUAUCCUAGGCUGUGGAUAAUUUGUAAGGGACAUUUGAUUGUUUGUACUUCUCUGUCACAAAGUAACAACUUGGCCUAUUUGUAAUGUAGAUUGAGGGACUAAUGAUGGACAUUGCUGCCGCUGAAGAAGAAAUUAACAGAUGGAAAGUGGCAGCAGAGCAAGAAGCUGCUGCAGGCAGAGGCGUCGAACAGGAAUUUGUGGCACAGGUAUGUUAUUCAUUACCAAUAUUUGUUGACACGUUUUCUAUAUUUGGAGGAUGUGACCAAAAAGAAAUUUUCAGUUGUGCCCAAGUAUUCUUAGAGUUUAAUGUUUUUAAAUUUUGAUUUAUUAUUUUUUUUAAGUCCAACUUUGAUUGUGCAAUGAUGAAUUGCGGAGUUGAAAAUUUGCGUUUCAUGAAGCCCACUUGUUUUGGUGUGAAAAAUUAAUUCUUGCACUUUUCAAUGAAAAACACAUGUCCCAAUGUAAAUUUAUGACAGAUUAAUUUGGACACACAUCCUAAUUAUGUUCAUUGAUUCAAAUUAAUUUUAUCAAGAUCAAUUCCACUCAACAUUAAAACAAAUGGGCUCUAAAUACAUUUAGCUAGUAGCUGGUUGCUAGUGGUCAUGAACCAACUAUCUCAAAAGCUUUAGAUAUUGGGUGGAAGCAAAUGAAUGAUUUUAUAUAUCUAAUGUGUCCCCUCAUGAAAGAACCCUUUGGGCCUAUAGUGUGGAUAGCGUGCAGGCUCACCAAUAGGAAUCUCAGGGAGAAGAGCUGAAUGAUCACAUGAAUAGCAGUAGUUAUUGGUUUGUUGUGACUGAGUCCAGUUAGUCGUUUGGAUGGUUAGAACGGCUGCUAAUGCUACCCGCUGAGAUGUUAUGUUCGUGUGUAUAAAUAUGCAUAAGGCAAGCUAAUGCAUUCUUUUCAUAAUGACCAAUAAGAAUAGUUCAUGAGGCCGUGGCUGGAGUGAAAGUCCUCUUCCUCUAGAUUCUCCUAUUCCUCCAUUCAUUGUCCCUUUUCUGCAUGUCAUGUCUCUGAUACCUAAGAGCUAUCACUUGUCCUACCUUGAGCUGAAAUUUAUUUAGAAGAAUGGGGACUACAAAAAUCAAACUCUAGAUUCUGUUUCCGUAAACACUUUAGUACACCACGUCAUGAGCUAAUUAUCCCAAGAAUUUAAGUAAUCAGUUUGGUUUGGGAAAAUGUUUUCUGCUUUUUACUUUUGAUUAUAAGAAUGUUACCUUAUUUUCACUUUGUUUUCUGAUUUCUCAAACCAAACAGCUUCUCAGUUUUUAGUUGAAAGCUGGUUUUAUAUCUACUACUAAUGACAUCCUUUUUCCAUGAAUUCCGUUACUGCAAUCCCUUGGCUCUCUAGCAUUAUCAUCUCACUGAAAAAAAAAAAUUGCUGUAACUACAGCAAGUUGAUAUUUUAAGUUGAGAUCAUAGAAAGCCACCCGUUGGUGGAUUUUUUGUCAAUGCUAUUGUAUGUUUUCAUCGAAUUUUCCUAGUGAUAAUUGCUGUCUGCAAAUCUGCAGUUGUCAGCACUUAAGCAGGAAUUUGAAGAGGCAAAGCAAUCCAUGUUAGAAUCAGAGAAGAAACUAAAUUUCAAAGAAGAAACAGCUGCUGCUGCCAUGGCAGCCAGAGAUGCAGCAGAAAAGUCUCUUAAGUUAGCAGACUUGAGGUCAUCUAGACUAAGAGACAGAGUAGAGGAGCUUACUCAUCAGCUCGAAGAGUUUGAGAACAGGGAAGAUUCAAGGAGCCAUAAUCGGCCUAGAUAUGUAUGUUGGCCAUGGCAGUGGCUCGGCAUGGACUUUGUUGGAUUUCAGCAGCGACCCGAUACACAACAGGAGGCUUCUAACGAAAUGGAACUUUCCGAACCUCUAUUAUAAUUGGGCAUUUUCUUUUCUCUUCUUUUUUAUGUUCUUUUGUGUAUUUAUGUUAAUUUCUUCAAAUUAAUGUUACAAAGUUGUAGUUUAUACCAUCAACAUGUUCCACCAUCUCUUAGAAUGCAACCAUGGUGGUUACUGGUUGAGCAUUAGGCUCCUGUAAAGUGAGAAAGUGUCUGAAGUGUGAAGUAUACAAGUGAGGGUGUGCUCACGCUUGAAUUAAAAUAGGUUAAGUUCAUCAAACACUUCAAUUCUAAUUGACAUAAAAUGCAUCUUCACUUAUUCACUUUAUAGGUUUUCUCACUUCAGGUGAGCCGUUUCCCAGCAUUAUCAUGUUGCACCUGCUUCCGGCUUGAGUAGCUUACUAUUGCACUUUGGGUGUUUUGAAUGGACAUUUCAUGAAAGCAAUAAACAAAUACACUGUCAUUACAUUACAGUAAACGUAACCCUGGUUUCUGUAUCUGCUCAAUAUAGUGCAUUUUUAUGGGUCGGUGCCUAAUUGUCAAUCGAGUUACAACAUUGUCGGCUUCUGUAUGGACGUUUCUUCCAUUGAACAAAUUGGCUUUUGGGGGAUCUAUGUAUUCGUCAAUGUCUCCCUAGCAAGUCUAUAUUGGAACAGGUGGAACAAGUGGGUCGGGCAACCACUCAACAUGUGAAAUCUCUAGAAACUAUAGCGGUCUCAACGUCGUUGGACGACAUUUAAUUGUCCCUCUUUUUUGUUUUAUUAUCAAAUAGAUUCAAUACAAUUUUACAAAUAAAAUUAUGAUUCUUUUUUACCUUUAUUUUGCUUUUGUACCGAUUAGAUCCAGACAUUUUAUUGGAAGGUGUCGAACAAAUAUUCUAAAAGAGACUGCAUAUUAAGGGGGUGUUCCUCAACUGGGUUAGAUCUUCACUCAGUCUUAAACUUUGAUGGCAUUAGAUUUGAAGAAGUAUGGAAAUAUACGGGUUUAACUAAAAUUGGACCUAAGUACGACAAAACUAAAUUAGUGGUGUGACUAAGAAAAAUCAUGUCUUGUAAUCUAGUCGACAUAUGUUUGUUUAAUGGCAAGAUAUGUUGUUUUCAUUUUGCUUCUUAGUUGUAGACAUUGUUGGAACAAUUUUUUUAUAUAAGCAAAUGUUAACAAUUAAUAUGUUAUGUUAAUUGGAACAAUCUUUUUAAACUGGUAGUAAUGUUCUAAACAUAUUUGAUGACCCAUUUCCAGUCCUAGCGCAACACCAAAGAUGUUGUUGCUCAUGUAUGUAUAGAUUAACAUGUUUGGAAACAUGGAGAAUAAAAGAAUCGCAUUUGAGACGUGAAAGUUAUAAUUAUUAAUUUUUAAAAAUCAUAUUCUAAAUGUGAAAUUAAAAACGCUAAAGCAUGCAGUGUGAACUUUCAACAGUGGCGGAGUCAUGAUGGUGUGGAGCAUUAAUUAAACUUGGAGCAUGUUUUAAUUUUUCGCUGUGCAAUUUGGUACGAUAAAAUGUAAUGUAUAAGCAUUUCACUUUUUAGGACAAAUCUUGAUAUAAGUUAAAAAAGCGCGAUAUUUAUUGGCCAUUGAUCAUACUUGGCGUGAAAACUUAAAAAGCCCCACACUCUUAAGAAACUACUACUACUUAAUAGUAUGAACUAAUGUUAAAGAAGCUGUUACUAAUUUAUAAUAAAUAAUCUCUAAUAAUUCUCGAGAAGAAAAAAAAUAAGAUACAAAUUUGUGGUUUAACAAAACUACAUGUAGUGGUGGGGAGGGAAAAAAGAGGCUAACCUUCAAAGAUGUUUGUUAUUUUCAGGAGGAAAAGGCAAAUUAAGAAAGACCAAAACCCCCCAAUUUUCAAGGACUAAAAAAAGAAUACCAAUGACAUAUAGAAUCAUCAUCUGUGGUGCUAAAUUAUUGCUUCAGCGCUUUGUUCUGCAUUUCUUUUUGAGCAAAAUACCAUCAGGAGGGCGUGUUAGCAUGACACUGCAACGGCCAUAAAGAUUAUAUGAAUACCUUAAGAUGGUUCCCAAUUUGGACCUUGCCCUGAAAACUCCCCUCACUUCAAGCAUAACGCCAUUGCCUUCCAUUUGUUUCACAAGCCUCUGGCUCUCUCUUAAUGGCAGCUGAACUUGACUAGAGACCAUGUGGAUAUAUGCAAACCUUGAUUGAAGCCUUGCAGCAUAGAAAGGCUCAACAUAUUGAGUGGCAAUAAGGGUACUUCCAUAGUAGAGAUAAAUGAUCACUGAGCUGAAGUCCACAUGCACCUUCUUGUUUGGAUUUGUGAAGUUAGCCAGCAUGGUUAGAUCAGCAUUGAGUAGGUAUCCAAGGUCAAGGUAUGCAGCAUUUAAGGUCACACUAGACACAUCAAAAUGAGGACUUUGGGGGCGAAAUACAAAGUACACUAUAAGGACUAUUAAGCCUCCUAUGAUUAUGAUAAGCCAAAAUAUCACACACAAGCAAGCACCUAACCAUGUCAAGGGUUGAGACUUUUGCUCCUUGGGCAACUUUAUACCGCUGAGGCGGGGAUCGCGGCGUGGCUGGUGCCGAUGCUCGGGGGGAUAGUUCAGCGGUGGCAGCAGUGGAGGGACAUCAGCCGAGGGAGGUGGUUCUUGAAAAUUUACCUUUGACUUAACCGGCCGGAAACCUUGAUUUGUUGGCUGUCUACGUGGACUUCUUUGCUUGCCACGGCGAGGUUCUUGGAGAAUAGGUGGUGGUGGGUGUGGAUGAUCUUCUACCUGAGGUUGCAAUGGAACAUGGUCUUCAUGCUGAGGUCGUGUUCGUAAUGGAACACGAUCUUCAUGCUCAGCUGGCAAUGCAACUGGUAUAGGUGGAGCUACUUGUGUGGAUGGUUGGUCUCGGCGUUUUCGGCGUGGCACAAGUGGAUAAGGUUCGGUAUCACGAUCAUCUAUAUAUUCAGGCUGUGAUGAUCUUGAAAAAUGAGGGUUGGUUUCUCGACGAGACAUGGUGUGGUUGUGCGAAAAUGUAUGAGAAACAGAAAGGCAGUGAUAUGAGAAUGUUAUUAAGCUAAUGGAAAAACGAGGACAAAUCAAGCCUAAAACAAAAAUUAAAGCAUAUUAAGGGAAUGAGAAUGACUUCAUGGGAACUUCAAGGAUGAUUCAUAUAAAGGCAAAGAAUCAAACAUAAGCCACUUAUGUGGGGCAAAAUGUUUCAAUUCUUUAUUUUAAACAUUUAACACCCGAAAGUGAUAUCAUGUAUCACUUAUGGAUGCUAUGCUUAGCUCAAGCCUUGGAGUGGAUGUGUGAAAUUUAGACUUGAGUUGCCGAGCUUAUUAGUGUCCUAUAGUAUAGAGAAUUUGAAUCCACAUUAGAGAACAAGACCUUGUGUGAAUUUACAGGUGGCAUGGAUUCUUGGACUAUGAAGAUUUCAAAAUUUAUUAUAAAAUCCCCUUCAAAUUGUAAAUGUUAGGGAAAAGACCUGAUCAUGCAAGGGGAAAACAUACAUUCUAACUUAAGUCUAAAGCACUUUCAGUUUCUUGUACCACAAUUUACAUUCACACAAACAAGACUGCGGAAGAUACCUUUCCCCUACUUUGGUCCAAAAUACGUGGACCCCAAAUACAGACUGCGAAUUCUAGCACACUUUAAAAGUUAAGAACAGCCGAUUGAAGAGAGGAACUCGUUAUGACUUAUGAGUCAACAUUCGAUCAAUUUAAAAAGAAAUCAAUAUUUUCAGCUUAAAUAAAUAAAGCAAUGUGUUAAAUAUAAGAAUAUAAGAACAACAGCCUAAACAUACUCAUUUCAUAAAAAAGAGACAAGUAUAUGAAACAAUUUCAAAAUUGGCAAAAAUGAAAGGUAUAUAUGCCCAUAAUAUAACAAACUCAUUUUAUGGGUGGCAGCUUAAAUUACAUUGAUGAACUUCAGGCGCUUGAGCAUUUUUUUAACUUUUCCAGCAACUGAAGGAGGCUAUAAUUUUCAACAGAUCAGUCAAACAGCACCCUCACACGGCGCUCUCUCUCUCAAAAAAAAAAAAAAAACCAAAGUUCAAAGGCAAAAUAAUGCAAUAGCUACAAAACAACUACACAAAAGUUUGUGAUUCAUUGGCUAACAUCAAUUCCCCAGGCUCAUGUCACUGUAGUAAAUGCCUCAAUUCAAUAGUUGUAAGAAAUUUUCUCUUCAAAUUUUGGAAUGGAGAUGGAUGUUGGUCUUUUGUUGACUUCAAAUUUUCUAUAUUUUCCAAGAUCUGGUCAGAUGUAUUGUUAACAGUCCCCAGAUGCAGACAGGCCACGGUUCAGCAAGUGAGUCUCCAUUUUGUUUCUUUUCAACACUUCCAUUUACUCCACGUCACCCCAAAACAGAUGUAAGUAAUGUGAUCAGCCAAACCCAUAAACUACUAAGAUUUCAUGAUCAAAUGUCAAUAGUUAGCAUUCUAACUCCUCCAUUCUUACAUCGGAUAACCUAGUUCAAAAGAGCAAAAGGCUACCUAGGACAGUAAAAAACUAUUGCAAGUAGAAGCUUUCAAUUGAACAUAAUAUUAAUAAUUUAAUAGGUUGUUAGUGUUUACGCCACUAGCACAGAAUGUAAAUAACUAAUCACAAGUUCAACUUGUGGAAUAAGCCUCUUCUUGCAAAUGCAAGAUAAGGCUGCCACUGGUUAUUCCUGGUCUAACGAUGUUCAAAACCAGAGGGAAAAAUCCAUUUCUUCUUCUAAAAUCCUAUAUUCAGGCAAGCUGAAGUCCAGUUUCAUUUUGAUGACCUGGGAUUAUAUUAGAAGUGGAUUUUUCAAUAAAACUAGGUUAAGAGUUUCUAUAAUUGGUGUAAUAUGUGUGAAUGAAGAACUUGAGAUACCACAUGUUAGAGAAAGAUUUGUUAUUGAAAUGAAAAUCUUUGAGAAAUACACAAUGGAAGAGAGUGAGUGAAUGAAUGAAGAAAAGAUUUGUCAACCCAGUUUCCAAACUAAUUCUAAAAUGUAGCAGUUUGAAACUAGUUUCCUAAUACACGCCACAUUUGCUGACAUUUAGCCACCAACAUGGCAUUUUCUUAACUAUUUCCAUUUUUUCUGUCAUACUCCAGAAGUUGCUUGGAUGGUGGACCCUAGAUGAUUCAUUUCUAUUUGGAAAUCAUCAAGAAUCCAGGCGUAUAUCCUUCAUCUGUACAUUCUCUUUGCCCUCCUUUGUUCUUUUUAUUUCUUCUCCAAUUUUCCAUCAAACCAAUCUGCAAAUUGCUAGUUGUGCUGGUUGUAGUUGUCCUUCAGCUAGUCCUGUUCCAAGGUGCAACAUUAUCUUGGGUAGAAUCUAUUGGCAAGGAAAUACUAGCAUACAAUUAACCAGGGUACAUUAAUAUCAUUAUAUAAAAAAAAAAGACUAAGGAACUUAUUUUAUUUCAUAUGUAAGGUAUGGGGAUUGAUAACAUGCAAAACAAUACAUAUAAUCAAAGUUCCAGUGAAACCAUGUUCUGACUCCUUAGGUUCAGCACAACUACAGAGAAUACACAUCUGUGGCACUAUCAAACUAAAUGUAACAACUACAGAAAGUGUUAUUUUAAUAUAAGAUUCUCCAGCAUAAAUGCACUAUAAACUAUCCCACCCACAAAAGUGAAAAUUUAUUAAGUAACAUAAGAUAAGGCAGUUUCCAGUCAGUCUCCAUUGAUUCAGCAACCUUCAGAAACACUAUGCAACCUUUAAAUGAUUCAUGCAUCCAUUUUUUUCUUACAUUGUAUUGUUUGUUUUCUUUCAUAUAGGGGUUAGCAAAAGUGGCAAAAUCAUAUUAUAUGUCAUGGUUCUCUAAUAAAAGAACGCGCUGAAAUUAAAGGAGUAGAAACAUACUUCGGAUAAAUGUAAUGAUCAUGGUGACAUUUCUUUGGAAAAGCUUGAAGUUCCAUGCUGCAGAUACAGGCAGAAGCAUCAUAACUUACCAGAAAAUAAUGCUAAUAAAGGUCAGACAAGUUGAAUUUUGUAACAGUAUAAUCCUACAAAUAUGCAUAUUCUUGUUGCUAAUCCAAAUCUCAGAAGCAAUACAUAACUUGUGCCAGCAUCACAGUUUUUCAGAAACUAAUAAAUUUGAAUCUUGAAACCUAACAAGGCUACCUAGUGAAUCUUUUUUCCACAUCCACAAUUCUCCACUGAGUUACAUGUCUAGACAUAGACACAAAUAGUAAACCGAUGAUCUGUUAAUAAAGGUUCCAGAGUUUAUUGUUCAACAAUUUGCUAGGAUAUAGCAAGGCACUAGGCAUAAGCCACACCAAGGUGAGAUCACCAAUGAAACCAUAUCUUCAUAGUUCAAACUAUGCACUGCAACCACAAACUUCAUCUUGAUGAAACAAGACAAUGUUUUACCAACAUUAAGGAGUUGUUAACCUUAGAAGGGUGCUAUACUAUUAUUAAUAAUUAGAACCAUAAAAUGUUCAUUGAUUUUCUGCUAUGCAAGGCAGGACAUGAAUCAAUCUGAAUUGAGCUGCCACUGGUCAAAGAUUGACUCAAAUAGUAUGAAGACAGCAUAAGACUAACUCAAAGCCACCCUCAAUAUGAAAUCUGAAGAAACAACAACUGGGAUUUGAAUAGGCAGCUGGAGUGAUUCCAACCAAAUCAUCAAUUACUGAAAUUAGUUGUGCUGGGUGAGAAACAAAUCCAUAGCUCUCAAUGUAUAACAAUUGCCAAAAGUAAAUGAAUGCUCUGUUCACUCUGCUGACAUUAUGAAACAAAACUUGGAUACCAUUACUUCCAUUGGUAGCAAGAAACCAUUAGAGCACAGUCCUCUGUAUGAAUCCUUUACAAGAAGCUGGUCUGUGAAUAAGUAUGUUAUACAGCACAUAAGUAUGUAGGAGCACAGAGACACAUAAAGGUAUGGGAUGGCACCACAAGCGCCAUAAAAAUAGGUGUAUUAUAUCCAGAGAAAACUUUUCAGGUCAUUACCUGCAGAUAACAUUUCAGGUCAGGUCAGGUCAGGUUUGCUAAGCCUUGGUGUAUUGUAUCCAGAGAAAACUUUUUAAGUCAGGUUUCCCAUUUGAAAGAAAGGUGUGAUGAAUUUGAGAGGAUCAAAACACAAACUAGUGUCAUGUUGUGCCAUCACUUGAUUGAAUGGCAAUGACUAGAGUCUCAGAGAGAUGUCUGUCAAGUGUAAAACCUCUCUCCAUCAUCUGAUCCCAGACCCUACAGGCCAGUGAAAUCUUUUUUCCCCUUAUAAGCCCUCCAACUAUCAACUUGUAAGUUACCCCAUCAGGGUACAAACCUUUGCUCUGCAGUUCAUCAAAUAGGCACAUGGCAUCCAUAACUCUAGAAGCCUUACAAAACCCAUUUACAAGUGCAUUGUAAGAGAUGACAUCUGGAUUUACCCCAUUCUCAACCAUGUCACAAAAAACACUAUGAGCCACAUCAACCUUCCCAUUCUUGCACAGAUGAUCAACUACUGCCGUAUAGAAUAUACAAUCGGGAAGAACACACAUCCUUGUCAUUUCAUCAAGCAGCUUCUUAACCACAUGGGUACUUCCUUCCCUCAGAAAUGCAUCUAUAAGUACAUUAAAUGUCACCAUGUCCGGCCUAAUCCCCUUCCCGCACAUUUCCUCAAACAACUCAUAGCCCCUCCUAGUCUGGCGUGCCUUACAGAACGCCGUGAUCACAGUAUUAUACGAAACAACAUCACACAUCCCUUUGGUCUGCAUCCUCUCCACCAUCAUCAAAUAAGCCCUAUCCACCAUAUUUGCCUUGCAAAAACCCUUCAACAGCUCAUUAUAGCUAUACAAAUCCGGCUCCACCCCACUCCUCUCCAUGGUCUCACAACUCACGGCUCAUCACAUCCCUCAUCACAACAGUAAUUCAACAGUGUGUUAUAAGUAACCAAAUCCAGCACACACCCGUUCCGGCUCAUAAACGCCUUGAUCUUCAUGGCCUUAUCAACCCUCCCCCAUCCUACAAAACCCAUCAAUCAAAGCAUUGUAAACUAAGCUAUUAACCUUCACCCCACCCUUGAUCACACCAACAACAAGCUCAUAAGCCAAAUCAACGCGCCCCCCACCGCACAACCCGACAACAAGAGCAACACAGGCUUUAUAAUCAGGGUUCAACCCUCUGUCAAUCAAACGACGCCAAACCCUAGCAGCCUCGUCAAAGCGUUUAGCUCUGCACAGCGCGUCGAUAAUAAUUGUGUAGGAAACGACGUCGGGGUCUCUUCCCUUGGAGGGCAUGGAGUGGAAGAGUUCGAGGGCGGUUUCUAAGCGAUUUUGGCGGCAUAAGAGGUUGAGGUAAGUGUUGAAGGCCCAAAUGUCGGGGACGAAGCCGAGGGCGUCCAUGUCGAGCAGGAGCCUGUGGAUGAGGGGGAGGUUAAUGUUGUUGGGGGCGGAGCAGAGGGCGGAGAUGAAGCGGGAGUAGGUGAAGGGGAGGAGGGAGAAGCCGCGGGGGAUGACGUGGCGGCGGUAGAAGUGGUGGGCGAGGUGGAGGCGGGAGUGGCGGAGGAGGACGCCAAUGAAGCGGUUGUAGUCGACGCUGAAGACGCGGCAAUUUGAUUGGGUCAUUUGGUCGAACAGGUGGAUGGCUUGGUUGAUGAGACCGGCUUUGACCAGGUUCGAUAUCUGAGAGCGGUAUGCGAGGCGGUGUGAGCCAAUGCAGCUCUGAUACAUAUCAAUCCAAAUCCAAAGGCAUAGCACCAGCAACCGCCCAAAUCCUUAUUCAUUCACCUUCACCUCUAAUGCUGCCUUUAAUAAUGCCGUUGUGAGUUAUGAACGCAGCAACCAAAGUUAUAAAGAGACACACCACACCUACUGCAUGGUGCGUGCGUGCGCGCGUGAGUGGUGACAACACUGCUUCUUUGUUUUCCCUGUUCUCUUCUCGCUGCCACUGCAACCAGAGGUGAGGGGAGGGAAGAGAUUUUCUUCAAUUUUGUUUCUCUCUCUUACGAGGACUCCUUUUGUUAAAUCAUAUGAAUUGAAAAGAUACAUGUAUUUUCUUUUUUAAAAUGAGAGAAAAACACUAAUACAUAUUAAUUAGGUAAAAAAUAAUUAAAUAAAAAGAAAGAGAGAAUUCAAUAAUUUUUUAAAAAAUAAUAUAAAUUACUAAUAAAUUUAAUAUUAUUAACUAAAUUAAUUUAAUUUUUUAAAAAUAAUCUUAUAUUGAGAUAUUACUAUUUAAAAAUUGGAUUUAUUUAAAAUAAUUAAAAUAUUUAUUUAAACUGACUUUAGACGUAACUUUUAAACUGAAACGUGUAAUUUUAGACAUUAAUUGUAAGUGUUUAGAGGCAUUUGUUAUUUGAGUUAGAGCAUUUCUUCCCUACAGCUAAAAAAUUCACAAAUUUAAAACCUUUAUUUUAUAAUUAAAAAAGGUGUGCUGGGUGAUUUUUUUUAGAUAGGGUUUUCAUACUAUAAUCAUGAUUGAUCUUGUUUAACUUUUAAAAUGAGACAACAUCUUAAUUCAAACACUUUAAAAUUAUAUAAACAUUUAUCAACAUGUAUAUUCAAAUGCAAAUAGUUUAUUUAAUUGUUUUUUUAAAAUAAAAAAAAUCAAGAGGGGCUAAUUAACUAGAAACCUUUGUAAGAGGAUACUCCAAAGUCAACAUACAAUAACAAAUUCAGAAAACUGGAACAUACUUAAAUUCUGGUGGUUGAUUUGCUUCCCUAAAAACAUUCUGAGAUGUGUGAGACUCCAGGCAUCCAACAUUUUAUCAUGUGAAUAGCCACUUUCAAAUCACUUUCCACGGCUAUUCUCUAAGCAAGUUGCAACCCUUCCCUUGUGCCGCAAAGUUCAGUCUGGGUGACCUGCCAAAUAUUAAUUUUCUCCUGGUCCACAAAACACCAAAGUGAAUAAAUAAAAUAAAUAAAUAAAUAAUCUCUCAGUUUGCAUGCCUAUGAGCAUCUUUUGAGAUGUUAAAGCUCACCCAGUCAACAAUAUUUUCCAGAGUAAAAUUUUGCGAUACAUUAUUAUCAGAAGUGAUAGUCACACUUCCUUAGAUUUCUGACAAUCCCUCAUAAGAUGAAUGAUUGUUUCUAGAGUGCCAAAACUCAUUGGGCACACCUCAUUAUCUCCCAUAUAUGCCUUUGAGAUCUCUGGACAUUAGUAAAAGCAAGUUCCUUGACACUAUCCAAAUAUGCAUUUUGAUCCUUUCUGGCACCUGCAUGUAGUCACCAAAUCGUUUCAGAAAAUAUUGGUUAGCAUCAUUAUUUAAUUUUAAGUGCUUAUAACAAGCUUUUAUAUAUUAAAAACUUGUUGGAAAAAAUCUUAAUUAAAUUAUUUUCCCAAAUGAACCCUAAAUGGCUAAAUACAUAACAAAAACUAAUCGUAAUACAAAAUUAAACAAGCUUUCGUUGUAUAUUCAAGACGAAAUACACAGUGGAAAUUAAUCAAUUUUUGUUUGCAGUUAAUUUGUUUUUCUAAUGCGUGCAAUGUUCUUUAUUUAAUUAUGGGUUAAAUAUGAUAUUGGUCCUCCAAAAAUAAUAGAUUGUAACAAUUGAAAGUUAUAAACAAGAAGGCAAUGUUCCUCCAAUUGUUGAAAAUUUGAGAAAUAUCCUAACAUUGUAAAGAGAAAAAAAAUCAAAAUUGAAUGAGUGAUAUGUAAGAAUGGUAAAGAAAAUUAAAAGUGGGAUAAAAAACACUUUCAUGGCAUAUAGAAGGAAAACAAGGGCAUAAGAAAAGAACGCCAAUGGAUACAAAAAAAAAACUAUACCAACAUGUGCCACAUGUUGCAAUGUUUACAAUCAAUAAACAUGUCACUUCAUGAUUUAUUGCAUUUUUGUUGAAAACACGUUUUUUGUCGCGAUAAGAUUAUUCUUGAAGGAGAUGAAGAACCACAACGCUCUAAAAUGGAGUGCAGGGGUGAACUCACCAACUUGGACAUGAACUCAUGAUUUUGAGCAAUUCUACAUGAGUUUAUUUGAGUUCAUAAAAAAUGUUUUCACAAUCAAUUUAACUUCAUUUAUAUAUGUCAAUUUGGAUGAAUUUACAAGUGGAUACUCGACUUUGACAACAAUGGAUGAACCAAUGAUGAUGUUGGGUCAUAUUCAAAACUUAUUGGUGUUUUUAGGCUAGAAGAUGAUGUGUAUGCCCUAGAAGAAAAAAUGUUAUUCUUUUAUUAUUCUUUUUAAACAACUUCUAGUUAUUUCAAAUAUCCUUUUCAAUUCAUCUUUCCAUAAUUGUUAAGCAUGCUUAAAUUAAAUUUUUUUAUAGUCAUUUCAAGAAUAAAUAACAUAUAAUAGUGACAUCAUCCUCUAAUCUUAUGUUUUUCUUUCUGCCUACAACAAUAAAACGUUGUAAUUUGAGAACAACCAUAUAGCAAGAAUUUAAAAUUAACUUGAGAGAACCAAUAAAAUGUAACUUCAGAAGAAUAACUACAUACCAAAUGAUAAUGGCUUGAAAAGAAUAGGGAGUUGAAUGUAAUUUGAAGCACAAUUUAUACACUCACCAGAACUCACGAAUUCAAUCACAAUUGUAAUUUUGUUAAAAAAACAUUAAUAUGAUUUUUAGCUAGGAAUUUCAACAGUAACUUUUCCUAAAUUUGGUUAAAUUGUGCACAGUGAUAAUUUUUACUAAAACAUUUAUUUCAUGUUUAGCUUCUUUACGUUUUCCCCUCAAAUUUUCACAUUCACGCCCAUUUUAAUCGUGACGUUGAAGUAGUUUAAUGAGGGAGAGCCAAUUAAGUCUCCCACCAUGGGAAAAAAAUUAUAGUCAUGGAAAGUUUGCGUUUCUUAGGAUAAGUGUUGGACUACCAUAGGCCUGUAUACACUAGAUUUUUUUUUUUUUAAAAAAAAGAGAUCCCCUUUAAUCGCAGGUCCGAUGUAUCUCCUUCUCGUUGGCAUUGUCACACUUAUCCUUGCCAGCAUCGUCAUAGUUUGGGUCUACAAUGGCUUCUAUGUCCUCAACAACAACUUGUUGGGAAAAUUCGGACUUUUCCAUUUCGUGAAGUUAAGAUAGACACUUAAUAAUCAAAGAUAGUAAUGGGAGCAUACGAUUAUAAUUCUCCAAAAUGGAGAUUCUUCCACUAUACAAAAGAAUGGUAGGAUUACAAAGAUAUGUUUACAAAAUUGACUCACUCUACGGUGACUCAUUCAAGCUUGAGGAUAGAGAUUUCUCAAGUUAUUUAUCUUCUCUCUCAAAGAGACUCUCUAACUUCCUAGCUUUCUCACUCUAAGAAGUGGAUUCACUCUUGUCUUGGAUGGUUAGGAAUAAAGGUUCAUACCCUUAUUUAUGUUACUCCACCUCCACAAUGAAUGGUGGAGAUUACUUGUAUCUUAAGGUGGAGAUUAAUUAUCUAGAAUGGUCCACACAUUCUAGGAGUUUUUACUCCCUUCCAUAUCAUUCCAUACUUUUCCAUAAGGUUCCAUAAGGUUUCACACAUCUCCAGAAUAUUCUAGAGGUUUCCACAUUCUUCCAUAAGCUUCUAGAGAGUUCUACACUACUUUGGAGUUCUCCAGGACAUUCUAGAAAAUUCUACACUUUUCUAGAAAGCUCUAGAAUUUUCUAGAACCUCUCCAAUUAAGGAGGAGUCCUAACACAACUUGCAUGUCUAGAUUAACCUCCAUCAUCCUCCUUCAACCAUUAUACGUGUGUGGUUUUUUUUUUCCAGAUCUAGUUGUUGUUGAUGUAUGUUUUCUCAUAUAUGUUUGUGUGUGAGUUUUUGAUUUGUAGAUCAAUUAUAGGUUGAAUUGUUAAGGAAGCAACUGUGAUAGAGAGAGAUUGGUGGGGCGAAUUCAGAUAGCCACUAUCAAAGCGUCAGUUUCAUGACGGUAUAAAUGGCAGCGAAGUAUGUCUAUGAUGACAAAAGUCUUUGUUUUGGAAGAGAGGCUAUUGAGGGAAGAACUUUGUCACCGUCAUUGCGAAAGUCAUUGUCAUUGGUGGCAGAGGGAGAAGAGUGAGUGUGGCGACAACAGUGGAGGAGGAAGACAGUGAUGGUGAUGAG
rnacentral:lncRNA from 1 species